UUUUUUUUUUUUUGGGGGUUUGAGAAUGGCUGGCUUUAAUUUUAAGAGUAGCAUUGUGCAACCCAUAAAAAAGAAAGUCAAAGAAACAUAGCACAGGAAGAGGAGCCACAGCAAAUAAAAGGAUUGUGAUGUGACAACAAUUCAAGUAAUUUCCUUGGUGUUUAUAUUAUCGAUAUACAAAGAGUGUUCCAUUCUUAAGAAGCACAGCAGGUCAUAGUUAGCAUAACUUGUUCAUUUCAGCCUUUGAACUGCUAGCAUGGCUUGAGUUUCCUCAUUCCACAUGUGAAAAACCCCCACCUUCAGCCUUUGUCCUGCAAACAAGCACACAAUUGACAAACAACAAAACCACAUACAUCAGUUCUUUUCUCCACUGGUAAAUAGUCUCAAAUUCUUUCGACAAGACAUGAAACUCUACAUUUUUUUUACUGAUAAACCCACAAAAAGUAACCCACAUUUCUUUGAAAAAGACCAAAUUUUCCGUUCCUCAAGGAUAACGAAAGCUUACUUGUGAUCGGAAGGAUUUGGCCUGAGUUCAUAAACAAUUGUUGCAACAACAUCCCUCUUCAACUGUUCAUCAAAGAAAAGAAAAUGAUGUAUUAGUUAUUUGCACAAUUAACGCAACAGAAUAUGCUCAUAUGGAAUGAAAUUACCUGAGUAGCCUCGCCUUUAAAGCCAAUGUACUCUAUCUUAGUUGUAUCACCACCAAAACUAUCAGGAAAAUGCAAUGUGAUGCUGGCCACGUUUUGAAACUUGGAAUACCUAAUUAUACGGAGAAAUGUUACAUUAGAGGGAUAACAGAUGGUAAAAUAAAAAUCAAACAAAACAAAAAACAACAAAAGAACUCAUUUCAGUGGCAAUUCAAAGUAAUUUACCGUCACUGUUCAAUUUGAAAAAGAAUAAGGUUUCUUUCAUUGUGCUCAAGUUUUAUAGUUUUCAUGUUCUAGAAAAUUAAACAACAUGGUUUUUGAAGUAGUAGUACUCCAAAAGGCAGUGAAUAAAUACCUUGUCUGGUACUCCAACACUCCUUGAAAAUUUUCGACCAAAUCCCACUCCUUAAAACAAUAAGAACACAUGUUUCAAGGCUGAAACGUUGAAUUUUUUCAAUUAACUCUUGAACAAGCUAAUAUGAAAGCAAUACCUGAAUGGCUUGCAUUCCUUGAACAUCUGAAAAGUCAAUGCCAUCUCGGUUGAUGAACCUAAUUAAGCAAUGCAGUCAUGUUUUUAGUUUUUUCAAAUAUAAAAAAUGUGAUCGAUAUUGAACAUCUGUCAAAGACUGAUUUGAUAUUUAUUUUGUCAGAAUCAUAUAGAACAAGACUCGUGAUCAGUACUAUUAAAGUUUGAACUUACACCCUCAUCUUGCUAGGACUUGUUCCGUCAGCACCGCCAAUAAUUGAUAUGCUCUUGAUCUUGACAUCUGAUGUAAAUCUAUCACAAAUAAAUGAAAAAAAUAUAGCUCAAUCAGAAUGUAAAGAAACAACAUCAAAGAUGACUUCAUCUAAUAAGUUGGUGUCAGAAUGGUAUGCUUUAAGAAAACUUAUCAAGAUGCCGACCAAAUGUUUGAACAAUAAAUACAACUAUAUUAAGCAUCAGAUAUAGGAGAUGAGCACAAGACAAAAGGAUAAUUAUAAAUGACACACAAAUUAACAGUUGUGUUUUGCUUUAGGUGUACCUGGAGAUGCUACUAAGGUUGAAUCCCUUACUCAAAACUCAUACAAACCCAACUAUGGAGAUCUAACAAAAUCAGACACAUAUUAUCAUUGUAAUUGAAUGAAAAGAUGGAAAAAUGUGUAAAAGUACUCAACCAAUGGAUCUACCUGAUCCCAUGCAUUUCGUAAUUAUGCAGUCUAUAACUCAUUUCAUGAAGAUAUCACAUAAAACAACAAGACGGGACACUCACGGAAUGUAAACAAGUAACUCGGGAUCACCCUCAUUGCUCUCCAAGUGUUCCUGUUGCAGAAAGUAGAAUCAAAAUGAGGCUUCAUAUGCCUAGUAAUUGAACAUAAAUUACAACCAAAAUAUAAGGUAAACCUGAACUAAAUCUCAAUCAAUGAUUCCUACAAAUUUUCGUAAAUGUCAUUCUGAGCUUUCAAGUAGAUUAACUUAUGAAGUUUGGAUCAUUACUUUUAACAAGGACGUAUAGAGAAGUAAAUAGAUAGCUCAUUACCCCAGUAGAAUUCAGCCGUUGCUCCCAAGCUUUAAAAACCGACUUGACACUUCCUGGAACCGCCUCAUUCAAAGCCGAAACCUAAAAACAGAAUAAGACAUUCUCUCAAGGAGAACACGUCAUCAUGUCAAUCAGCAAGAGGAAGCUCCAACGAAAUAUUAAUUUACAAAAUAACAAAGUGUGAAAAUAUUGCAAAGUAUAAAUCACCCCACAUCAACAAUCAUCAAUUACCAGUCAUAUAGCCACCCACAACCAAACUGCCCAAACCACAACACACAAGCACCCGUCUCCCAAAAAAAAAAAAAAAAAAGUUUCUAAACAUUUCUGGAAACUAGCAAUAACAGCAUCUGCAUGGAGUAUCAUUAACAAAGCUUCAUAUCCAACUAUUUUCAUUUACAACCAAGAAGCCUACACAUAAGAACCAUUAUGCUUACGGAUAAAUGCUUAUGAGAUUCAGCAUUUGAGCUUGAGGGUUUAUGUUGAUCACUGUUCUUUCAACUAAUUUUCAUUUGGGCACUUCCAGAUAAAACCAAAACAAUCACAAAAUGGGAGCAGACUGAAACGUACCAGUAUACGCAGAGCAGCAGUGUGAUAGCUAACAACGAAAACAUAGGAAUAGAAAAAUUAAGACUGAGCAAAGAAAAAGGCAGAGAAAUAGGACCUUGGGGAGGUCUAUAUGCUUGUAGAGAGACCAAUCAGAAGAACAAUCAUGCUCUUCGCAGCUGUGGUCAUGUAAGCAAGCCAUCUCUCUCUUUCCCUGGAUCACCAAAUUUCUAAGAAGCAGCACAAAAAGGCGAAGAAGAAAUAGAAGCAACCAGAAAUAGGGAGCGAACCGUGGCUUUUUCUGUGCAUAGUGCCGAAAAGGCCCUUGUAUCGGUACAAUAAAACGCACCGUUUACCUGUACAUAUAUGUCCUUUUAGGCUUUUACUGUGAAAUGCAAACGAGACUGUUUUCGCAAAACUUUCUUCUUUGCUUUCAUUUGGGAAGUUCAGCUCUGAGCUCUGUGAGAGAUGGAGGAAAUAGUAGAAGGGGACGGGUCGGGUGCGGGCAGAUACACGCUGAGACCAACGAGGCUAAGCAACGAGGACAUUCUGUUCUGUAUAGAUGUUGACCCAGAGUCUAUGGUGGAGAUGAAAGCCGCGAUGGGCCCAAAUGGGCGACCUUUAACCCGCUUGGACUCGAUCAAGCAAGCCAUACUUGUCUUCAUCAACGCCAAGCUCACCAUCAACCCAGAGCACCGAUUCGCCUUUGCCUGUCUCGGAAAGUCCGCGUCUUGGGUAGGUUCUCUCUGUUCAUCUCUCUCUUUAUUGCUUGGUUUCUGUUCGGUUUCCGAGAAAAUUUGCGAUCAAGGGCAGAGGAUUUUAUGGUUAUUAUGUGUUUUUUAGGAAUUGAACUCCUGGAAACCAUGAUUAUGGCUUUGGGUCAUAGUUUUGAGGUUUUUUGUGAUAUAUACGGUUAUGGGUAGAUUAAAAUUUUCAUUUGCAGGAAAUGUAAGCAAUUGCGUGCCAUGAAUUUGGUUUCUGGAUGAAUCAAUGAAGGAAAAUUAGUUUAAAUCACUAUUUUCAAGUAGCCCAUUGUACAGAGUCUCACCAAGUCAAAAACGUUUUGAUAGCAUGAAAGAGUUUAGACAGAAGUGUGAAACCCACGAUACAAUAUGGGGUUGCUGUGCAUGUAUAUUUAUAAGAAGUACUACGUCGGUAAACAAGAUUUGGAUAUGAACACUACUACUGAGGAGGCUUAUCAGAGAAUACUAAUGAUGAACCCUUGAAAUAAAAUACAUGAUAAAUAUAAACAGAUAAACACGUGAGGAAACUAAGCAGGUAGCACUUCUAUCAGUUUUCCUUUGAUUAAGCUUUGGUCACUUUUAUUGAAUGCGGGUGAGAAAUCAAUUCCUUUACUAUCUGUUAAGGAGAUUUCGGAUCUUGAUCAUAGUUUCAAAGUGUACUUUCCAAGAAUCAUCCGCAUACCUUGAUCAUUUUUGGUCCUAGACUUAUUUUAUGGGGUGCAGUACCAAGAAUCGUUCACAUACCUUGCUGUAGGGUUGAGUUUUGAUGCAUGAUAUGCAUAAUUAUCAUGCAAAUACCCCAUUAGUAGUAAAUAUUUAUGCAGUGUAAGCAAACCUUCUGCAGGUCUUUGUUCAAAACACUCAAUUUAUCCUUUGUGUCUGUUUGUUUGAUUUAUGUUUCUGUAAUUGAUUUGGAACCUUUUGUUUUUCGUUUUUAUGAAGCUUCGGAAAGAGUUUAGCAGUGAAGUCGAUUCUGCUAUUGCUGCAUUUCGAGUACUCUCAGCUACUUCAUCUUCUAGUAAUGCAGAUCUUACCAGUCUAUUUCGAGUAGCAGCUCAUGAAGCAAAGAAAUCUCGUGCUCAAAACAGACUUUUAAGGGUGGUAAGCAAUGGUUGGCUUAACUUUUCAUGCAAUUACAUUGGUUAAUUAUUACAUCCGUGCCAUUGUGAUAUUCCAUCUUAUCCCUUCCAUGAUGUUGAAAUUUUUGUGUGUUGAUUGCUAAAGGCUGACAUGCUUGCCCUUAGAUUCUUAUUUACUGUAGAUCAUCUGUAAGACCAAAUCAUCAAUGGCCUGUGAACCAGAAACUCUUCACUCUGGAUGUAGUUUACCUUCACGACAAGCCUGGACCUGAAAACUGCCCUCAAGAGGUCUAUGAUUCACUUGUGGAUGCCCUGGAACUUGUUAGCGAAUAUGAGGGCUACAUCUUGGAGAGCGGUCAGGGAUUAACUCGAGUUCUCUUCCGUUACAUGUGCAUGCUGCUAUCACACCCUCAGCAGCGUUGCCCACAAGACCAUCUGGACAUACCUAAGCCUCUUGCGAAAAAGUUGCCGGCAGCAGAUUCAACGACUACUGAUGAUAGUAUUAUAACUGUGUCCGGCAUAUCAGAAGUUCAGAACAUUAGAAAUUAAUUUUACUGAGGUCAUUUUGCUUCUAAAAGUCUCAUAUGUAUGUAGUUUGUCUGAUGUUGAUGUAAACCUCUUGUUGAGUGAGAAUGAGUAGCCGAUUUGAUCUUGGUCCUAUCUGUCUGUACAAAUUGUGAAUGUUAUGAAUCCCAAUGUUUAUUUUAACCUAUCUGUCGAAGAAUUUUUUAUGACAUUCAAGAUCACGUAAAAUAUAGCAAAAGCAAGAAGUUCUUAGUACUAGUUUGUAUGUGUAUCCCCAUUAAUAUGAAGAGGGAGGUGGGAGCUGGCUUGCUACGCCGCGUCACACGGCACGCGGCAGCUAGGCAUAUUAGACGUCGAAGGAUUCUGGCAUUAAAUGUUAAGCAUUUAUAAACUUUGCCAAGGCUCAAAUUCUCCCAUAAGCAGCCUAAAAUGAGGAUGUUGUAAGUUGAAUUUUGCUACAUAGAACUACAUUCUCGGAAAACAGCUUAGUUGCCACUUUGCCAGUCACAUCACGAGACAUGUGUCGAAAUCUCCCCCGCUCGAAAAAAUAAAAAAUAAAUAAAACAAAAAAAAAAGGUAAGCCUUCCUCAAAGUCUAACGCUACUAGAUUGAAAGGUGAAAAAACUUGAUUGCAUAAGUAUACUACCCAUUGGUAUUGAUGAAAGACUUAUGAGGUUUGAAAUUAAAUCUUUCAAGUUCCCCGCAGAACCCUGCCUUGCCCUUUGGAGUGAGGCUAAGGUUUUCUUCUCUUAUUAAAAAAACCAAUCGACUAUUAUUUGCAUUCCCACAAAACCGUAUGACUCAUUGCUUCCAAUGGUGAGGUCAACAUAUUGGUAAUCAGAAAGAAAAAAAAAAUGCAGAGCUCGAAAAGUUGAAAUGAUAACCAAAAUCCCUCAUCCAUAUAAUUUUUUUUAAGUAGAAGUCAACUUGGAGGGAUGAUCUUAAUCACACAAAUUGUCUGUGACAUCUCUAGAAUUAGUUUUAGUAAUGAAAUAAAUCGUUUAACUCUUUCGCUCAAGAAAUCUGCCGGCAUGACGUGUCGCUUGUGCGUUCCUUGUCCACUUGUGCAUGCUUAUAUAUUGCUUGCACGAGUACAAAGAAAAACUCCAGUUUGAAAAACUUUUUAUACUAAAAAUAAACCCUAAGCAUUAUUAAAUUUGUAUUGUUUUUAAAGUUUGACCAACUGUUUUGAUCUUUUUUUCAUGAACUUGUCCAAGCCGUUCUGGCGCUCUUUAACUAUUAUUAGUCUUAAUAAUCUAUUUCUAAUUGUCAUGAGUCAUGACCAAUCUCCCUUCUCUGUAAAGUGCAUCAAGUUGGUCAUGUCAACUCAUUCUUUUCUUUUUACAAGUGAUGGUGGGGAUAACUAGGUUAACACUUAAAAUUGCUUCCAUCUUCACCUACUUGAAUGACAGAAGAACAUGGGCUCGUGCCUUGUGGGUCACUUAUCUUAUCUUAUUUAACUUUUUUUUAUUGCUUUUAGGUGAAUCGACUGCACAAUCUUAAAUGCAUGAAUGAAUGCUUUAAACUAUUUAAAUUACGAGCUCUUUAUUGUGUUCCUUAGACAGAAGUUAAAACCAUCAUGAUUUGCUGGUUUUGAGUUGGUUAAUUAGUGUUUACAUGGUGUGAAUGUAAAAGUAAAUGGUAAAUGGCUUACAUAGCAAGUUAGUUAUAUAUAAGUUAAAGAAGACACCUCUCAAGUGGUAUGCGAAUCUUGGGGUGGCAUAAAAUAAUUGAGAAUUUAUUUAAAUAUAGUCAAAUUAUUGAAGCUCCUUCAGCUCUCUGUGGAGCCACUUUAAUUUGCUCCAAUAGAUGAUCAUUUUGCUAACAUGUGCCCUUUAUAUUCAUGAUUAAAGAGAAGAGGACUUCAAAUGAACUUUGGACUAUAGGAGAUAGAUAGGAGGAGGAGGAGGAGGAGGAGAUAAAGGAAAAAUCCAUUUCCAGUUUUAAUGGGACUCUGCAUAUCUUCUUCAGCUCACAAAAUUCAGGAUGGCCAUGAAGCUCCAAUGUCCUUUGAAAGGACUGACGAUUCUAAUGGAAUUCAGAUGCACGGUUCCCUUUAUUCUUUGGAAGGAAGCAAAGGAGUAAACCAAGAUAGUGCCAUUCUUUACCAGGUUUGUGAAUAUUUCUUUCCCCUUUAUUAUAUGGAAGGAAGCAAAGGAAUUGUUCUGUGUGUUUCUCUAGCUGCUCAUUUCAAAACCAUAUUGUUUGUUUUUCGCUUUGUCUAUACAUAAAUAUAUAGAAUGGCAAGGCUUGUUUUCUUAGAAAAUCAUCAGCAAUUUCGUUUCAAAAGCAUUCAUGCAAAGCAUGUUGCAUAAUCGGGUUUCAUAUUAUUUUACUAGGCUUCUGAAAGUCUGUUGAUUAUAGCUUUAACCUCUUCUUAUUUUUCUUGUCUUUUCAAUAGGGCUAUGGAUUGGAAGCUGAAGCUUUCUGUGGAGUUUUCGAUGGACAUGGAAGAUUCGGGCACCGAGUGAGUCAGCUGGUGAGAAGCAACCUGCCAUCACUCUUACAAGGCCAGAUGAAAGCUCUUGAUCAACAAGCCAUUGCAGUAGCAGAGGAUGAUGAUUCGAAAAAUCACAUUGACAGAAUAGAAACCGAGUCAGAAGAUUCAGAACCAAGCAAGAAAUUUCACAAAUGGAAAGAAGCCUUUGUUAGCUCCUUCAAAGUCAUGGACAAGGAGAUUAAGCUUCAAGAAAAUCUGGACAGCUCUUGUAGUGGAACCACUGCUGUUGUUGUCAUAAAACAGGUGAGAAAAACUACACAUGAUCAUUGAACAAAUUAUUUAUCUUUCUUUAUUUCUUUGUGUUCGGCUUUAAUUCAAGAAUCAAACAGGGUGAGGAUCUUUUUAUAGCUAAUCUGGGUGACUCAAGGGCAGUCCUAGGAACCACUAGAGAGAAUGGAAUUGAGGCCAUUCAAUUGACCACUGAUCUAAAGCCUGCUUUACCUAGUAAGAAGUUCAUCAUUUUUUUCCAUUUUUUUCCUCUUGUUUAAUUUGAAGUGAUUAUCUGACAGGUGAUCGUUUUUAAUGCAGGUGAAGCAGAACGAAUAAGGGCGUGUGAUGGUCGAGUGGUUGCACUAAAGCAAGAACCUAACAUCCAAAGAGUGUGGUUGCCUCAUAUUGACCUCCCAGGCCUAGCCAUGUCCUGAGCUUUCGGAGACUUCAUACUCAAGGACCAUGGCAUCAUUGCCACCCCUGACGUCUCCUAUCGCCGCCUGACUUCCAAAGAUCGAUUUGUCGUUCUUGCAACGGAUGGGGUAAGCCCUAUUGGAAAUGAAAUGUGUACUUGUUAAGAGUUUUAGCGUUGCCAAAGAAAAAAGGGCACAGUUGCUUUCCUAUGAAUGGCAUUUUAACCACAAUGAUGCGUUUUGUUCUUGGGCUUGGUAUUUAGGUUUGGGAUGUGCUCAGCAACCUUGAAGUUGCAUCCAUUGUGUGGGAAGCUGAUAGUGCACAAGCAGCGGCAAAGGCGGUGACGGAGACUGCGGUGGCCACAUGGAGAAGGAAGUUCCCUUCUGCUAAGAUAGAUGACUGCACUGUGGUUUGCUUGUUUUUGCAAGACAAACUACAUGAUCAUGUUGUGCCUGUAAAGAUAUGAGCUUUUGAGCAAUGCUUGUUGCUUUGUGAUCUUUUUUUAUCUUCAUACAUUUUAACACGACACUAUACUUUUUCAAUUUCUGAUAAGCUAUACUUUUUCAAUUUCUGAUAAGCUACCCGUCCAAUUAUGUACAUAAGCCCACAGGUUCCAUUUUUGGUUAAGACAACAGUUGCUUUCAAGAAUAAAUUUUUGGUCAAAUCAUCCGCCAGUAAAUGAAAUCUUUCAAAACCAAACAGAACCAUUGGCAACCUUCAAAAUGCUCAGUAAAUUUUCAAAAUGUCCACGAAUAAACAAUGAUGUUUUGAUUUGUUUUCUCCAGGCAAUUCUAGAAAGACAUCACAGGGCUAGAAAUUCAUGAACAUAAAUAUAAUAAGACUUGACAUAGUGGCAAAAGGCAUUCUUGAAAUUUCAUUGAAAUGCUUUUAAUCACAAUAGGAUAAGGCCGAUAAACUUCAGUUAAACUCUUUAAUAGGGGAAAAGAAUUAUGUUGCCUCCAGGCAAACGAAACAAAAGAGAACUUUCUGCAUAUAAAAACCCCAUUUGUGAGUAAACUCAAUGCCUACCAUCUGGAUGAAAAAAUAGAAACAGAAGAUCCCGGGCGAAUAUAAAUCCAUUUCCUCUAAUAUUCAAGUGCAUCAUCUUUGGGCGCCUCUCCAAGCAGGUCAUCAUCAUAUGAAACAGGUACCCUUAACCUAUCAUGAACAGAAAGUUGUUUCCCUUCAGUAUUUGACUGAAUGCCUUGAGUUUGCAUUUGACAAAUAACCGGUACGGCAUCUGAAAUAUUAGCUGGAGUAUCAUCCUUGAAUGAAUUCACAAUUGCUUUAGAUGAACCUUCUUUCCCUUGCUGUAUUGGUUGUCUAUUAUUUGUUGACCUGAAUUGCUUCUGCAUGGAGAUAGAAAACAUAAAAAGUAAUCAACGAUGCUGUAGUUUUACACUUUUUCUAAUAAAAGUGAUAUUUAAUUGACGUUUGGGAAAUAACAUCAGAAACAACACUAUGAAUCUAUGAUCCACUACUGCGCACCUCAAAUUCCCUUCCUUUUUUCAUUAUCUCUUUGUAGGCCUUUGGUUCUCGUGCUUUGAUGAUACUCCAUAGUACUCCACCACCAAAUCGGAAACGUUUGCCAUCAUGAGUCAUCUGACCUCCACAAGCCUGGAUCGCAUCCACCUGAAAUUUUUCAUCAUUUCACAAAUGAUAUCCUAGAUACACCAUGGUUUCUAGCAGGGAAAAAGUAUCCAUUCUCCUGAUACUGGAUUCCAUCCGGACUACAAAUAACUAAUAUACGAGAAACAUAGAAACACUUGUAACAACCACAUUUAAUAAAAUUCAGAAAUUACUUAACUAAGGAUAUCGUUCCCUACAAUCAAAGUAAGCUCAAAGAUGUUCAUAAUCACAAAAGUUUCUGUAAACCAUCUCCGGAUAGAGCUUAUGGUUCCUGGGGGAGGAGCAAACAUGAAUGAUGAGCUUUUUGGAGCAAAAAUAGAUGUGUAUUGCUUUGUUACGCGUAUCUAUUAGAGUACUCUUACAUGUGUUUUGCAUGCAUAUUGGCUAAUGCAACUCCAAGAAAAAAUGAUAUCAACCUACACAAAUAGCAUAUGAUGAAGUGGUUCAUCCAGGGGACAUCACAGCUCAGAGCACAAGAUUGAAAGGAGUAAAAUGGCUUCUGCAAGAGAAAUCUGCAAGGGUAGGGAAACAAUAUUGAGGAUCAGAAAUUAUGCAAGGCUGCGUGGCCAAAUAGUGUGCAUAAGCAUCGGCAGCUCUAAGCUGGUCCAAAAUUAAGCAACCCAGAAUCUCACCUUCCCUUGCAAAAGGCCAGUCGAAUCAUUCAAGUCCACUCUCAACAAAGGAUACCCUGCCUUCCCCUUGAAGCUAUAAUGUGAAGGGAACUUAAAAAGGGACAGAUGGCUCAGAAGGUAAAGACAACCUUAAAAGUACCCCAUAAAGCAUAACCAUCCUCCCAAUAACAGGACCCCCAAUUAGCAAAAAAACCAGCGUGUUCAAGAAUCUAUAGAACAGAAUUGGCACAGACAAUAUGAUAGGUGAUUUUUAAUUGACAUCACUGAAACCCAGCUCUGAGUGCAAAUCCCAUGUUCUGAACAUGAGCAGCAAGGUCGGAUCAUCUUAAAGCUAGAUGUGAAGCGGAGUCAAGGCAACCUUAAGAAGUACCCAUAAAGCACGCCCAGACACAACCCAUUCACCCAAUAACAGGAUUACCAUUAGCAGAAAGACCAAGAGUGCUCAAGCAGGUACAUAAUAGAAUUACUUUGAACAAUAUAAUAGAUGAUUUCAAUUGAGAAUAUCACUGAAAACUCCACUGAAAGGUAUUGGGCACAAAGCACAUGUUCUUAAACUGACAGCAAGGUCGGAUCAUCUAAAAAUGCACAUUAAUGCAGAUAAACAUGUACCAAAUUUACAACCAGUUGCUAAUGGCGUCUGUCAAGGAGAUUUUCAGAAGACAAUUACAAAACAUAAUGCAAUGCACACGUAGUUGCGUAUAAAAGAUAAAGAAAACAAUCCCCAAGUUAUAUAAUUUGCUUUGUCACAGCAUUUCCACAAAAGCACACAACGAAGGGCAGCAUACCUCUUUGACGAGAUCAUUCAAUGCAAGAACACCCAGACAACCAACAGCAGUAUAUACCAGAUAUGAUUUCUUCUCUUUCAGUCGCCUACAUGUAUCCAUCACAAACCUGAAAAAGACAUAACAUUAAAAGAAUGUAAAAACCCACAAGAGAGCUCCAAAUUCCUUUUGAAUAUAUGUAAUUUCUUUCGUUCUUAAUCGGGCAGGGCAUAACCUGUCUAUGUCAGUGACAUUAAUUCCAGGGCCACUGUUCCUUCUCCUAUUCCUCUUCUUCUUACCCCUGCGCUUCUGAUUCUUGCCCUGACGUUCUUGGUUUGCUACACUGACAUUGCCACCACUGAUCUGUCCCGAACCAUUUUGUGAGUUAAAAUCCACAAGCUCCCCUUCUUCCACAAGCUCUCCUUCUUCCACAUCAAGCAUCUCAACAUCUUCGCCAUCUUCAAAGUUAUCGUCUUCAAAUACUGCGUCUAGUAUGUUGUGUUCUCCUUCCAUAUAAGGUUUUCUUCAAUGGGGGGAAAAAACGCACCACAAAAUUUAUAAGCACCUACAGAGCAGAAAGCAGGAAGAAAACACGCAGAUUUCCACAGACGAGACAAAAACUGCAAACUCGUGCAAAUUUUCUCUAUGGCAAAUCACCAAACAGAUUAUGCGAGCCCUAACCAGAAAAAAUCACAAGUACAACGAAAACAAAAAAAAAAACGUAAAUAAAUAUUUUUUUUAAAAACCGAUGUACGAACCCUAACAAUGCAAAAACAAACACAGCAAUUCAAAGCUUAUGGAAUUUUCCAAUUAGAGUGCUCUGCUUAAGGACGAUGAAGCAUAACCGCGGCUUUUGGCGUUUGGUUGAUCAGAGGACUGCGUUUCGCUGGUAUGGUCUUUAUAGUGAAGCCUAGAUGAGCGCUGGCGGUAAUCAGUAAUGGCUUGUUUGGCUGCGUGGCAAACGAUGAUAUUAAUCCGGAUUGGGUUAUAGGUGGAAAGGCCCAACCCAAGGACGCUUUGCUUAUCUGUACUGAGCGAGCCCAAAAUGGCUGAAACUUAGUCCAUCCCCAAUCUAUUAGUGAUAUUUUAUGAUUUGUUUUUGUUGAAUACGUAAUUGUUAGUAGGUUAUCUGUCGACGUUUGAUUUCUUUUCAAUAGUGGGCCAUACGUCAUUGGCCAAUCCGUACGAGUCCACAACAAAACUGAGUUGAUGUGGAUUGUUGAGUGUGAAAUUUUGAGGAGUAAGUUUUGGGUGAAAAGCUCGGACCACGUAAUCUAUCUGUCCAACUGUUUUCAUAAGAGGGUAUAAAUUUUAUUGAGCGCCUGUCGGACGGAUGACAUGGUUUUAGAGCAAAGCCAAGCCCAACCUCAUAUUCAGACACCAUUGAUUGGAACGGGUAUGAAGUGGAAAUACAGGCCUUCCUUUAUCUUGUUCAGCAAGCAAUGGUGCAUUUUUGUCCUGUAAUUCAUAAAUCUAAUAGAUGCCCUUUGUCUGCAUCAUCACUUUUGUUGUAUUCUUUAAAUUAUACCUACCUUGUUUUCUACCUAUUCAAACGAGGGGAAGGUGGGCAUGAUUGGUACCAAAGUUUCAACCUAACGUUCUUCAACAUCUAGUAGCUUUUAUAUUAUAAAGUUAAAAGAAGAAAAAUACAAAAAGAAAACUCAUUAGAGCUUCCAGCUCUUGUUUUGAAUGAUGAUAGAUUAAGUCUGAUGUUGGGUUGAAAUAUUCUUUAUUAUGGCUAACUUAGCAUUGAUGUGCUAUGAAAAUAUACGCUGUUAGAUUUAUUGUGAGAAAAAUCAACAGUGAGAUAAAACAAUUUGGUGUUUGAUAAAAAAACAAAAGGGUCCCCACUUGCUCUAACAACAAAAAAACUAAAAAUCUUGCAAGUUAACUAAAGAAACUGUAUUCUUUAAUAAAUGAAAUUUCCCGUUAUUAUCUAUAUAUAUAAAGCAAAAGGCAGAGAAUGGUGAAACAUUCAAAAUACCAGAAAAUACCCUUGGUUAAUGCAAAUAUUAAGAAUUGAAAUUAUUAAUUAAAUGAGGAUAAUAUGGUAAAUUCACAAUUUUUCGUAUUAAAAAAAUUAAAAUUAAAAGAAAAUUCAGAUAAUGGAUCCUAUUUUUAUGGAACACAAAUAUCCAUUAUCUUUUUUAAUUCUAAAAUAAAUUUAAAUUUUUUUAAAAAAAAACCUCUCGCAUGCGCAGAAGCGCGUGCAGAGAGGCUAGUAUAUAUAAAGCAAAAGGCAGAGAAUGGUGAAACAUUUAAAAUACCAGAAAAUGCCAUUGGUUAAUGCAAACAUUAAGAAUUGAAAUUAUUAAUUAAAUGAGGAUAAUAUGGUAAAUUCAUAAUUUUUCGUAUUAAAAAAAUUAAAAUUAAAAGAAAAUUCAGAUAAUGGAUCCUAUUUUUAUGGAACACAAAUAUCCAUUAUCUUUUUUAAUUCUAAAAUAAAUUUAAAUUUUUUAUAAAAAAAACCUCUCGCAUGCGCGGAAGCGCGUGCAGAGAGGCUAGUACGAAUUACGGGUGAAAAAACCAGUGGAAUUAUACGGCGCCAACACUGUAAUUCCCGCAAUAAUACGGUGCCGACGUGUACGCUCCAGAUUGCACCCCUUUCCAAUUAAAGAGUGAGCUCACUGGGGCCCGCAAUCAAUCAUCCAAGUCGCAUUGAAAAAGAGAACCCACGUGGUCACCAAUAAAUAUCAACUCCUCCUCCGACCUUCGAUCUUUGUGUUAUAUGUCAGCUCCACCAAUCAGAUAUCCUCAUACCAAUUUGACCGGAAACCGCCAUGACUCGGUUGGCUAGCGCCGUCGUCCUGUUGUUCCUUGUCUCCCUCUCCAGUUUCGCUGCCGGUAGCCGGGACCUGAUCGGAGACGUUUUACGGUUACCUUCUGAAGCUUCUAGAUUCUUCGGCAGAGGCGAUGACGGCCCUGAUGAGCAAGACGACGGCACCGUGGGGACCAGAUGGGCUGUUUUGAUCGCUGGCUCAAAUGGAUACUGGAAUUACAGGCAUCAGGUCUUAAUUUUACACGAUAUCAUCUUUCUUAAUUCAGAAAUAUUCUUUUUUGUUAUCAAACUUCAGUUGUUAAUGGAAUUUGAGUUAUAAUUUUGGAUGUUAAUUUCAAUUUUUUUUCCCUUCAUGUUUUUUGAAUUGUUUGAUAUCUGAAUUUGGGUAACCUCAUAUUGGAAAGUUUAUGCUUGUAUAAUCUCGUUUAAAUUUGACUUUCAGCUUAUCCAAUUUCUGAUUCUUUUACCUUGUUGCUUUCGAAUUUGUCAAACUAAAUUUUGGAAGCUUAGAGUUUGUUUUGGAACUAAUAUGAAUUUAGCUCAAGCUUGUGUCUUUCUUAUCUUCCUUGAUCUCAUCUCAUUUUGACUAAGACAGAGUUUUAAAUUUACAUGUGGCUUGAGUUUGUUUUGGAACUCAUAUGCAUUUAGUUCAAGUUCGUUUUAUUAAUUAUUAUAUUCCUUGAUCUCAUCUCAGUUUGAAACUUUGACAUGGAGUACAUGAUCUCAACGUUAACCAUAUUUGUAUAGGAGCUGGAUUUCUGUGUCAGGGGUGAAAUUGAUACUUUUGUUGUGUCUAUAUCUUCAUAUGAAUGUCAAUAAAUAUCUUAUUGGUUUCACAUAUUUGAAAGCUAAGCCACCCUCAUUUCUUGAUUGAUGUUUAACACGGACCUUUUUAUCUUGUUUGUUUAGGCUGAUAUUUGCCAUGCUUAUCAACUACUGAAGAAAGGUGGGCUGAAAGAUGAAAACAUUGUUGUAUUCAUGUAUGAUGAUAUCGCUUAUAACGAAGAGAACCCUAGGCCCGGAGUCAUCAUUAACAGCCCACAUGGUGAUGACGUUUACAAAGGAGUCCCAAAGGUCUGUUAUCUUCCCCUCUAGGUGUUUACCUGCUUCUGAAUUGAUAGUUAUAAUUCCCCUCAUGCGGUCGAUUUUACGGUGGCAGGAUUACACCGGCGAUGAUGUUACUGUUAACAAUUUUUUUGCUGCUAUCCUUGGAAAUAAAACUGCUCUUACAGGGGGUACUGGGAAGGUUGUGGACAGCGGUCCAAACGAUCAUAUUUUCAUUUACUAUUCUGAUCAUGGUGGUCCUGGAGUUCUCGGUUAGUAUCAAUUCUGCACAUGACAAUACUGACAUUAUUUUGCCCACAUCCCCAUAUCUUAUCUACUUACUCUUUCCCUAGGGAUGCCUACCAGUCCAUAUAUUUAUGCUAACGAUCUAAUAGAAGUCCUGAAGAAGAAGCACGCAGCAGGAACCUAUAAAAGCUUGGUAAGUUUCUAGUUGAACUGUAAAUAGAUGCUGCAUAUACCAAUAGAGUUGGACUAAUUCGUAGAACUGCAGGUAUUUUAUCUUGAAGCUUGUGAAUCCGGAAGUAUCUUUGAGGGACUUCUUCCUGAAGGUUUGAAUAUCUUUGCAACUACGGCAUCAAAUGCAGAAGAGAGCAGUUGGGGGACUUACUGUCCAGGAGAGUAUCCUAGUCCUCCCCCGGAGUAUGAAACCUGCUUGGGUGACCUGUAUAGCGUUGCUUGGAUGGAAGACAGGUAUGCAGAAUUAUUUUAUUUUGUUAAAUUUUCAAUAAAGGGGUGGGAAGAAAAGCAGCUUAAUGUUAGCUUCAUUUUGCAUACCCUUGGUAAAUAAUAACAAUUUCAUCUUUCCCUAAAAGUGCAUUACUUCUUGAGUAUUGUCACUUUAAGAUUUGCCUCAAAAUAUGAAGAAUAUAUGAAUUAGGUAGAAGUUUGAAACUGUAUCAUUUCAUGCCAGUUGUUUUUUCUUCUUUAAUUCUUGCACUGGUGGUGUGGGUGUUUGGAUUGUCUUUGCAAGAGCAGUUUCUUUCUCAGGUUGGAGAAUGAAACUGUUCAAAUUAUAAUUUUCAUUUGAGAUUUAACAUUUUGACCUUGUGAACAGUGACAUACACAACUUGAGGUCGGAAACUUUGCACCAACAGUAUGAGCUGGUAAGAAUUCGUCUCUUAACACAUUGUUAUGGAACAGAUAGAGAUUUUUUUUUCUUCUUUUGUACAGGAAAGACCAGCUGUUUAUUAUUGUAUGUUUAAAUAAAAGAGAUUGUCUGUAUUUAGAGAAGUCUUGGGGGUCUAGCCAAGAAAUAUCUAGAUGUGAUCCUGCUAGUUGCUAAUGUCAGUUCUUUGAUUUCAUUAUGAUGGCCCAGGUUAAAACGAGGACAGCAAAUGACAAUUCUGGCUUUGGUUCUCAUGUCAUGCAAUAUGGCGAUGUAGGGCUCAGCAAGGAAAACCUCUUUGUGUAUAUGGGGACAAAUCCUGCAAAUGAUAACUACACUUUUCUGGGCGAGAACUCCUUGAGGCCAUCUACAAAAGCUGUCAACCAGCGGGAUGCUGAUCUUGUCCAUUUCUGGCAUAAGGUUAACUCUUACCUUUUUCAUCCGUGAAUAGUUAUUUUGCCUUUUCUUUUAAAUAUCUAGUCUUAAAAUUUAUGUACUAGUCAUCAUCGGUACUUAUAUUUGGAAGUAUUUCAUACUGUUAGAUAUUAUGAUUGAUUUGAUUAAAAGUCAGGAGAGAUCAGUAAUGAUGAUUGGGGAAUACUCCAUGUUUUCAUUGUUUAAACGGUAACAUAUCAUAAGUACCAUGGAGGUUUUGGAACCAUGCCAUUUGCCCUGCUCUCCUGUGAAGCUCCAAACAAAGCAGUAGAAUAUCUCUGCUUGGAACAAGAAUUUUGAAUACCAAAAAGGGAAUGAAACCAAGGUUUUGAUUAAAUAAAAGCCUUAAUUGUUAUGAAAAUCUAAGGUUCUACUUCUGAAUAUUCUGUGGUUUUGUAACUAUUUCUGUGUGUUAGCUGUCAGCCUGAAGAUCUAAGCCCCUUGUUUUCCCUUCUUUUCUUUUUCUGGAUGCAGUACCGCAAAGCUCCUGAAGGCUCACCAAGGAAAAUUCAAGCUCAAAAGGAUUUUGUUGAAGCAAUGUCUCAUAGAAUGCAUAUGGAUCAAACCAUGAAACUUAUCGGGAAACUCCUGUUUGGAAUCAAGAAAGGUCCAGAAGUGCUCAACACUGUUCGACCUGCUGGGCAGCCACUUGUUGAUGACUGGGACUGCCUUAAGACAAUGGUAGUACUUCUGCUGUUCAUUUUCUCCUUAAUGCUGUUAAAACUUUUCUGAUUCCAUCUUGUUCUGCAUAUAAAACAGAUUUUCACAAAUAAUAUAUGUGGCUGUGCCUGAUGGGUUUGUGUGUGCAGGUGAGGAGUUUUGAGACAUAUUGUGGAUCCCUAUCUCAAUACGGGAUGAAACACAUGCGGUCCCUGGCAAACAUCUGCAACGCCGGAAUGACAAAGGAGCAGAUGACCGAGGCUUCAGCACAAGCCUGCACGAGCGUUCCUUCUAGCCGUUGGAGCUCCCUGCACCGGGGGUUCAGCGCAUGAUUUCAAGAAGAAGAAAAAAUGUGGGAUUUGAAUAACCAAUCCGUGGUCAUCUCUAUAUGCAAAACAUAUCUUAGGAUGCAUUUCGAUUAUUGUUAAUGUUAUUCUGAUUGCUUCAGUGUAACCUUGUGUAAAUACAACUCAAGCCCCUGUACUGUAAUGCACGUACCUACUGAAUCUUGUAAGUAAAUAUUAGCAUGUUUGUUGCGUAUGAAUACGUACCUGUUUGCUGCAGCUGGUGUACGCAUCAGGCUCUGGUUAUAAAAAAGUUUGCAAUUACGAUAUGCCUUUGUUUUAUGUUCACUUUGGUUGCUUCAUUAAGGAAGUGAGUGGCUUGUCUCCAUCUCCUUCACCACCACCACUAACAGAACAUAAUUAUCGCGUAACACUUUCAACUUUAUGUCUAUUUGAGUUAUUAUUUACAAUUACAAUUUUUUUAUAUUAAAAUUUAUCAAAUAAUUUUGACAAUGCUUUUUGUACUAGCACUUCAAAAGAAUUAUUUAUUAAACAUGAAGUUGCUUUACUUUACAAUUAAUUAUUUUUAAAGCACAAUAAAAUUAAAUUUUUUAAAAAAGUCACAUCAAUCUCAAAUUCCCCUUCUUUCUUGUCCGUCUCCAAAUGGUAAACUGGUAAUCUAGCUUUUGACCCCCAAAAAAAUGGAAAUCUAGUGGGCCUUUCAUAAGAUAAUGUCAUUAUCAUUGUGUGAGUAUAUUCCGUGUAAUUGAGUAAUGAAAGAUAUCGAUCGCGUUGGGAAUUGGGGAAAGUUAGAAAUAUUUAAGAGACGGAUUUACUCCCUCAAUUAAUGUAAUUUAUGGGUUUUCAAGAAUUAAAUGACGGAUUUUAAUGUGGAACACACAUAAAUUUGUAUACCUGAUGUAAAUUUAAGAGUUGGAAUAAUUUUAAUAUCCAUUAUAGGCAAAUGAACAUGCCAUGCUAUAGGUGUGUGCCCAAUUUCAUUGUGGAGAACGUAGCCGUAGGAGAGCAUGCGUCCAACCCCAAAUUCCCUUUCUUCCUCACCUUGCUCCAACCUGUAGCUGCCAAAAUGUAGGUAAGCAACAGCCUACAUUACGGGUCCAAUAAUGUACAAUUUUGGCAAAGUCCAAUUACUUUAAUGAUGGAAUGAUUGUAUAGUUAAAUCUUACUUAAUAAGAUAAGAGUGAGAGUCAAAUUUAUACGGUGCAUAUUUAUUUCAUGUGUCAAUGCCAAUUAUAUUACAUAUUUUAAUUGAAUAAUACGGACCAUUUAACUUGACACAUGCAAAAUUAUAGAUGAGCUUGUAAUUGUAACAUUAAGAUUCACACAAAAAACGAAACUCACAAUAUUUAGCUGAAUGGAAAAUGUUUUCAAGAUGCAUCUAUCAUAAGUUCUAGCUGUGAACAUUAUUAUAUGGCAGUGUCCCAUCCCAUGGUCUCCCCAAGACUCACAACCCAACAUUUUCUUUUUCUUUUUCUUUUUCUUUUAUUUUUUUAUUUUUAUAAAACGCAACCCAACUUUAAAAAUAUGAUCCAUAAUUGCAUAUUGUCAAACCAACAGUGAAAAAAAAAAAAAAAAAAAGGGAAGCAGGAACCGACGCUCUAGAUUCAACAAUUUUAUUUGGUCAACACACAAAUAUUUAAGCUUGGCUUAUAUACGGUCUAUAAUCGGCCACAGGAACCGGACAUCAAGGACAAUUGUCUGAUAACGUGAAAUCCACGACUCUGGUUAAACUUACCAUGGUUAGUUCACUAUAACCAUACUACAACGAACCGGUUCACCAGAAAAAUAAAAUUAAAAAAUUAAAAAAUUAAAAAAAGGUAAAGGAUGAAUAAAAAAAUAAUUGGGUAAUGCAAAUUAUUGCCACUUAACGGAGUAGUAGAUUCUGUUAGAUUCAUUUGACGAGGCGAAGAGGGGGCGCAUAGUAAGAACGUUGUAACGAGGUUUAAAAGAGACGGAGCUGACGGUUUAAGAUAGGGAGACGCGGGAGCCGUUGGAUUGUUGAUCAAGGGCCGAUAAUGCAAGGCGUUGGACGGUUCAAGUGUGACGGAGAGUGGGAGGGGUCGUAUAAAGCCUGGGUUUUGAAAGGUGAGAGUGCAUUUCGUUCCAUCAAAACAAGAAGAAGAAAGAGGAAGAAGAAGGAGAAAGAGCCUCUCUGACGUUUUGGCCUUCGGUUUUUCUUCUGCUUUAGAAUUUAAAGAGGAAUUCGGGAGAGAAUUCGUAGAGCUGGACUGUGUGUAAUGUUAAGGAUCUAAUUACGAAGCUUUUCUGUGAGCCUGUUGUGUGUUCGCGGGAGAGAGAAGGAGAGAAGAGCUUGCAGAGGUUGGUGAUGGAGAAAACAGAGCUCGAUUUUGGUAGUUUUAAUGUAAUCUGAUUUCUUAGAAUGACCGGGUUAUUUUGUGCAAUUUCUGUUUUGCAGAUACAUUCAGAAGAGCUUUUGGAGGAAUUUGAAGUGAAAUCGAUUGCGAUUUGCUGGGAUAAUUUCCAAGGUGGACCUCAUUUCAUUGAAAUUUACAGAGAAAAGGUCGAGAAAUCUAGUUUAGAGGUGAGGGGAGUUGGAUUUGCUUAAUUUCCUAAACGAUUUCACUCCCUUAUUCUAACUCAUCGUUCGUUUGAUUUUGGUUUCACAGGUACAUUUCCCGGAGAUUUGACCCCUUUUUUUUGAAGAAAUCUCAACUGGGGUAUGAGAUAAAGAAGAACAAGCAUCUCUCAUUCAUGAGUGUCAGGGACAUAGGCUCUAAGUUUCAAUCAUUUCGUUGAUUUUCGGCUCUAGAUUUGCAUUUUGCAAAGUCAGAAGGCCUAGAAGAGCAAGAUUACCCAAAAGAAGCAAACUUUCUUUUGCAAAUUCAGGAUUGUAGCUGCUUGCGAAAUCUCAGUAUAACAGGUGAGGAUUCAUUUUCCGAAUCCUAGAUCAGUGAAACCAAGUCUCGGGCUUAGGAUUUCACUGGCUGAUUUGAUUUCCUUCCAUUUUCGGUUCUUCGAAUUUUGAUAUCUUUCUACUCAAUUUGGUUUCUUCAAGGAGGCUCUCACUUUUCUCUUCUUUUUCCUCAUCUGCAGCAGAGUCCAAGCAAUUGGUUUCUCUGUUUUUUGAUUUUCGAUGUUCAAAAGCAGAUAACUUUGCAACAGAAUUUUAAGCUUUUCAAAUGAAGCCAGCCGAGUUCCUUGACUCUCUCUCUCUCUCUCUCUCUCUCUCUCUCUCUCUCUCUCUCUCGCUCGCUGGGUCUUACAUUUGGAUCCAUCAUCUUUGUCCAUCAUCUUCUUUCAAUUUUCUGUCAUCUGCCUUCUGUGCAAGAAUUUUCAAUUUCAAAAAACUAAUUGACCUUUAUAUUUGGGAAGAUUAUCUCUUCUUCUUCGUCUUCUUCUUCUUCCUCUCCUCCUCCUCCCCAUUUUAAAGGCUUUUAAUAUAUUUUUCUGAAUGAUUUCCGUCUGUAUUAUCAGCAUUGAAAAGAAAAGACCUUCUCUAUGAAAUUUUACCCGCUGUUUUGUGAAAAAUCUAUCUAUCUUUGGUGUUCUUUGCUGGCAGUCCGAAGUUUGUGUCUUUUCCGAAAUUCAAACACCAGCAGAGUGCAAAAUCUUCUGUUUGGUUCUCGGGAAACUGAUACAAGAAAAAACUGAGCUAACAGACGUAAUUGCUCAACUUAUUUAAUCGCAAUUCGUUGGAAGCGUCUGAUAAAAAAAAUAUAUAUAUAUAUCAAAGAUACAAUUUUCAUUCUUUGUCCUUUCCCUGCCUUUUUUUUUUUUCGAUCUUCAUCUUCUCCGUCUGUUUGGGUAGGCCCUGCUUUUCAUUUGAAUUUUAUUUUUAGGCACUCGCAGUUGCAGAGAGCCAGCCACAAUCCAAUUCCAGAUUCUCAGUUUUUGCCAUUUCCGUCCCUAACUUUAAUUAUGAGCAUUAACCGCGGUUAAAGUGUAAAAAAUCAUGUUAACUAACUAACCGCUGUGAUUAAUUCUUGUUUUGGCAUGGGUGGACAGGUGUACAAAAGGAGAUGGAAAGGGACUGUCUUAGGCACACCCAUACUAAAGACACCCACAAUCCCAACACUCGAGACAAAACCGGAGGGGACGCCUCAGCCUCUCUGCUGUUGAGAGCGAGCCCCGAUGCCAUACGACACGCAACGACGUCGUCCGAUUUCGUUUUGCAGUGGGGGAACCGCAAGCGCCUCAGGUGUAUGAAGAUCCAGGUCAAAGACAAGGGCAAAGACGACUCCGACGCCCCGGUUACCCGAACCACAGUCCGGGUCGACCGCCGGGUCGUCCGACCUGAUAAGGACCCGGCCAAUCAGCCUUCCACGGCCGGUAACUCUAAUCAGACGAAUGGGUAUUUGAAUCUCCGUCAACGGCCGUUAUCUCCGCAGCAGCCGCCACUUCAGCGUGUUCUCAGGUUACCACUUGCACUUCACGCUUUUGCUUUAUCUAAUCUAUAUCUAUUGCUUCCACGGGACGUCGUUUCGGUCCUGCCUUUCGUUAACAUGUAGUUUCGUCGUUUUGUGGGGUAGUUGUGGUGGCGUUUUGUCGUUUAAAUUAGUGGCGGGUGGGCCAGGUGCGUGGGUUUUGUCGUUUUUAGUUAUUUUGGGACUUGUUGCCUACGGUUACAUCUGUACAGUUUUGGUGCGGUUUUUAUAUAUACCUUGAUCUCACCGUCAGAUGCAUGAGUCAUAAUCAUCAGAUCAGGAGAUUUUAUAUUCAGACUUGCUUGAUUUUAGAUUUUAGAUUUGUGAGGAAAAAUCUCAGAUGAUUGCGUGGCCAAUUUCUCUACGUCUGUGAAGGUCAAAGAGAAUAAUUUUGUUAGGUAAGUGUUUGUUGCUUUGAUUAGAUUAUUUCAUAUGCAACAAUAGAGUGAUUGCAAAUUCUGUUAUCUUCUUCCUUGUUUGGUUGAAGAGAAAAUCUUGUUUGCGUGAAGGGAAAAUCUCUGAUUUUCUUGUGCAAAUUUGUCGCUUUAGAUUGGAUUGAUUUAUAUGAGUGGGACUGGAUAAAUGGAUAAGGCUAGAAAGCAUGGAAUUUUGUCCCACACCACUGGUUUUUUAUAUUCCUGGCCUGCCAUUAACAUGGCUGUGUUUAAUCCUAUGUGCUUAAUGUGUAGUUGAAUGAAAUUUUGUCGGAGGGUUUUUGAGAUUAGGAGUUUUAAUGAUGAAAUUUGGGGCUGAAUUUGUUGUGAGGCUUAUCUUAAUGAUCAACUCUCCAAUUGGUCAGGUGGGUGAAGAGAUGUAAAAGCCCCAGAAGGAGAGCUCAUGGUAAGUGCAUGAGGGUAGGGUGCCUUCUUUGUUUGUCUUUGUAGGAAACUAGUAGCAUAUGAUUGAAUUAGGUUGCUCAUGUAGUCAUGUAAUCUUUUUGGCUUGAUUGUGCACAACAUAAAACACAUUAACAUAACAAACAACUUAAAUUAGAGAAAGAGAGAGUCUUAGUGCCAUAAGGUCAAGCAUUUACCCUCACAUUCACGGCAAGAGUUUGAUUCUUCCUCGUUCGUGUUUUUCAGGAUGCGGUAUUAAAUUAUGGUAUCAUACAGGAUGGUGUAUCAAUAAGUUGAUGUCAAGCAUGAUUGAUUUGAUACUAGUUCUAGUUUUCUUUUUUGGAAUAAAUGCCUUAUUUAUUGUGAUUGAUUUGUUAUUUAUUUUAGACACGAUGUUAGGGCUGAUUUGAUCAUAAAUCUAGAAUGAUUAGGCUUGAGUAAAUUGAUUUCCACUAGGACUUGUGUAGCAGGCUUAUGUUGCUCAUGGUCACACCGGAUCGGGGCUCCACUACAUCUUAGCAUGAUAGCGUCCGAUCCAUAACGACCGGCACCCUGAUUCCAUGGGCUCAGUGGAAAUAGGAAAUGGGCAACUCCUAUUCCACGUGUCCACGGAAAACCAAUUCUUCAACCCCGUUUCUAGCCCUGGGAUCACUGAUGGAUCAGGCAAUGGAUCCACGCCUUCCACGUUUCAACACGUGUUCCUUAACCCCACAAAAGGCACUCUCAAUCCAACGGCUAAAAUCCUGCCCAAAAACCAGCUGUGCACGUUAUACAGUACAUCACAUCCCUUUCCUCUCUCUCUCUCUCUCUCUCUCUCUCUCUCUCAAAUAUCUAACUUUUCAUUAAAGAAAAGAAAAUUAACAACUCCCUCGUUUAAAAGCAGAACACAAAGGUCCCCCAAAGAAGCCAAAAACCACGCUAAUUUUCUACGCAAAACCCAUUACAAAGCCUCUCUCUCUCUCUCUCUCUCUCUCUCUCUCUCACACCAAUCCACCGAUCUAGAUCGUCUCAAGGCCAUUCCCGUAAUUUCACAACUACCCACAUUAAUUUAAUUUAAUUUAAUUUUUUGCCCAAAAAGUAUCAUUUAUUAUGUUUUGUGCCAGCUUUUUUAUGGGUUUAUUGAAUUCAAUUGAUUUGAUUUGAUUUGAUUUUGAUAUGCGUAUCUGAAUUGUGUAGAAACUCAGAGACCACAACAAGUGCCAUGAGAGGCCAGAGCAACGGAGGCUUGAGGGGAAUUGUUUCACCCGACAACAGAGGGGGUGCGCACGAUAAGAAAGGCAACCACCACCAUCACAACCACCACCACCAUAAUAAUGAGAAUAACAACACCAAGUCUGCAGCUUCUUCGGACACGGCGCACGAUAGUAAAAAGGGGGGAGGUGGGUCUUCAUCGGGAAGCGGCGAAGCAGCGUUGGCGCCACCGAUGGUCUGGCCGCCGAAGUUCGUGAUUGCUUUGACCAACAAAGAGAAAGAAGAGGACUUCAUGGCAAUCAAAGGGUCAAAAUUGCCUCAGAGACCCAAGAAGAGAGCAAAGUUCAUUCAACGCACCCUCAAUGUAAGCUCCUCUAUUUUCCUUUUUUAGUUACUUUAUUAAUUAAUUAGUAUUAAUUAAAACUAACUAGUUUUUUUUAUUUUUUUUCUUUCUCUUUUUAAAAUAACACCAUUGCCUUGCAAAAACAAAUCAAAACCCAGUUUGAUUUUAUUAUAUUUAUAUGGUUGUUUUACCUGUAUUUAUGCAAAUUGUUGUUGCGACAAAAUGUGGACUAGCUUAGAAGGAAGGAAAAGCAAAAAAUAAUAAAAUAAUAGAAUAAUAAAUAGAACUUUCUGGUAUUUGUUUAGUUUGGGUUAAAAGAAGCCGAAGAAGAUUGCUAAAGUGACAGCAAGAACAAGGCAUACACGUGUCCGCCAAGCCAUGUAUGCAUAUACCUAAUAUGCCUAAAAGUUAGUUUGCUGUCCGACUGGAAUAGUAUUAAUAGGACGAUGGUUUGGGUUAAGAUUAAAUUCUAUAUUAUUCAUAAUAAUAUGAUAAUGAAAUAUUUUAUUUAGGGUCGCCUCGUUUAGUGGAAAAUUGAUGUCACACGUGGCAAUACAUGGUUGUUGCUUUUGGGUUGGUUAUCGUGGCGAUGGACGGUGCGUGGCGUCUCAUGUGGCCGCAUGUGAUUUAGUGGGCAUCAGUGGACGUUUAAAGCAAGUGGGCCUUAAUUCUGUACUAACCGACAAAAAAAGGGCAUAUGGGUCGAAACGGACCCUGGGCCUGUUACCGUUGGUUUUUUUUUGGGGGGUUCUUUUUGGGAAAUAAUAUGCUUCAUGUUGAGGGCAUAUAGGUAUUUUCACUAGCCCUUAAUUAUGCUAACUGUUUUCUGGCUUGGACCGCACUGCCAACUGCUGAGCACAAAAGCACGAAAGCUGACUACCCACAAUGCACCGUUUUCGUUUUUUAAGUUCCAAACAUAGCAAAACUCAUCAAAGUGCUUAUCAAAAAGCCUAUCCCGCUUUUUGCCCAUUACCUAAAGCAAAAGCUACGCUUUUGCCAGUCUGUUUUUGCUUGUUUUGGCCUCUUCCUUUUAAUUAGCUGGAAGAUUAUUGUUCUAAUUAGUUUUUUAUUUUCUGUAAUUUUGUUUUAUAGCUGGUAAGCCCAGGAGCAUGGCUCUGUGAUCUGACCCUAGAACGGUACGAGGUCAGAGAGAAGAAGAUUUCCAAGAAGGUAUUUUAUUGAGUAAUUUUCUUCGAUUCAGGGCCUAAAUCAAAUUUCCUUAAUUUGCCUUUAAUGUUGAUAUUUUUAUGCAGCAGAAUGAAUAGUUUUUUUGUGUUUUUGCAUGAUGCUGCAGAGACCAAGAGGGCUAAAGGCGAUGGGCAACGUGGAGUCUGACUCUGAAUAGAAAGGAGUUUUAGUGAAAAGACUAAUAUAGCAUUUUCGUUUUUUUUCUCCUCCUUUUUUUGAAGGUAUGAGAAAAAUGUUAGAACUUUGUAAAAAUCUUCACCUUUCAACCAUCAGAAUAAUGAAUGGAUUCAUUUCCGGUCCUGUAUACAGUCUUGUUCCUCAUCUUCCUACUAAGUUUGUUUAAUCAGAACAAGAAAAAAAAAACAAAUCAUCACGUCCAAGCACACGAACAAAUGAAAUUUCUCUCUUUCAAACCCUAAUUGUGAAAAAUAAUUAAAAUAAGCUUCAGGGAUGUAAUUCAAGUGGUUAGUCAUGACAUGUUACACAAUCCAACAAUUUUUUGUUUUCUUGUCAACCUACAACACAUUUUCUUAUGUCGUAUUAAGUUAGAAAAGGGAAUUAACGGUGUUGGAUAGUCGUCCAAACGCACGUGAGUGUCUUAUGAUUGUUCAUAUAUUAACAUAUGGGUCUCAGUCUAACAUACAUCGAUGACUUACGGUGGAAGUGCUCAUUAGGCAUGGGCAAAAUCAGUUUCAGACUUCACCAUCCGAGUGAAAAAGAAACUCGAGACUCGAUCGCUCUCAAGAUGUGAAGAAAAUCACGAAAUUGACUCUUGAGACGAGAUUUGAGACUCUUUAGAGGUUAGACUUCAAGAAGGAAGAAGAAAAACAACAAACCAUAACUCUCUUUAGCUGACACACGUAACGUAAAACCACAAUAUAUGAAUUUGCAAAGCUAUUAAAGACAAUGACAUCUAAAAAUUUACCCGAGACAGGAGAAAAACCAGAACCCCAACUCCCUAAAGUUACCUAGUCAUUAGCAAAUUGAAGGGCCACGUCUAAUUUAUAAUGAUAAGAGAUAAUAUCAUUGUUUGGUCGCAUGAUUUGUGGAUGCCACUUUACAUUAUGUGGCCUCCUUAAUUGGUAUUUUGAUGUGACACGGAACACUUAACGCGGUAAUUUAAUUUCUUAACGUAAUUGACAAUUUCAAUGAAAAUCCAUGACCUAUCAUAUCAGACCACCAAACCAAACCCAACUGAAUUAAACUAUUGGAAGAGGAGAAAACAUGGGUCCUAAUUCAAAUUAACAUUCAUAAUUCGCCAUCAUUGACGGGAAGACCCGAAUUAAUCCCCUUAAUUAUGCCACGAAGAAGCAUAAACACAUUUUAAGAAUAACAUCUGCUCUGUGAGAGUUUGUGGAGACAGACAGAUCCACCACCCACCAUCCAGCUGGUUCUCAAAAGGCAAUUCUAAUGCUACCUGCGGGUCGUGAAGAAAAGAGGAAGAUUUUUCAAUUUAAUUAGCCCCCAAAAAAUAGCAUGGAAAAUACCCCCAAAGGGCCCUAAAUAUACCCUUACCCACUGGGCAUAUUUGUCAAUAAACACUGAAAUUAGGGAUUUUUUCAGGACCCAAACACAAUUGCUAUAGUCGGUGACCCAGAGCCUAUCAAAUUAUAAACUCAUUACGUGUUGCAGUUGGAAUUACAGCUUUAUUCUGUUAGAAUAAAUGAUUAAUUUACACCGACUUGGCUACGCCGCUUUUUUGGUCCAAGCGAAAAUAAAAUAAUUGGAUCUGGAUUUGUAAUUUGCCGCUUUUUAUUUGCAGGUAAUGAAAAUGAAAUAACAAUUUGGAUAUUAGUUAAUUUUGAUAUCACAAGCUAGACAAACACCAUUCUCAAAGCAACUCAAGCAUCAAACACAGGAGGAGGAGGAGGAGGAAGACAAACGAAAUAAAAUCAAUGAAUUAUUUACUCAUAAUAAGGAUAAUAAUCGAAAUCCACAAAUACAAAACCCAUAGUAAUAAACCAAGUGCAUUAUAUAUGUAGUCUAUGCACCACAAAAACCCAUAUGACACUGAAAAUCCUAUAGAUCCAUAAUCACCAGCUACUAAAAUGACAAACGCUACUAAUAAAAAACCAAUCAGAAACCCAACCGCUCUCUACACAGCCCCAACCAUAGUUGCAGUAGUAAGCGAAGACUCAAACCCUGAGCGCAGAUCCGAAGACGAUAGCGGCGAAGGCGGCGGCGAAAGCAGAGAUGAACGACGGGGAGAUGGAGGCGGAUGCGGAGGUUGGGCUAGGAGCUGGAGAUUCGGCGGCCUGAGCGGCGCCGAUGACAGAAAGGACGGUGACGAAGACCGCCAUGAGAGCCACGAGUGAAGUUGCCUUUGAGACUGCCAUUGUUGAUUGGUGUGAGAGUUUCUUGUGCUUCGGAAUCUAGGGUUUUGGGAAUACGCCGAGAGACUGAAGCACAAAUAUCAGAGGUGGAAUGAAGUAGGCUCAAGGAACGUAUUUAUAGCGGGGAUUUUGGGCUGGGGUCGGGCAGCCUGGGCAGCUGCCCGGUUCUACAGGCUGGCUACUUGUGAUUGGUUCAGCGCGACAGCUCACACCGCUGGUCGGGGUAAAUUUUUCUCUGUGGGCCCCACUAGAAACCAGUGUCUACGCGGAGUCGUUUCACGCACGAUUUUACCUUCGUCUGAAACGACGCCGUGUGUUCACAUUCCUUAACGAAAGGGCUUUUCGCUUCGCGGCCGAGUCGACUCAGUGGAGAAUAUAUUCGCAAGAAUCUUCUAGCUUGCGACGCGCGGAUCAGAUUCUGUCCGUACGGUGUCAUUUGAGUCACAUCACAUGAUGAACGGUCCAGAUGAACCCGUGGGAACACGUGGGAAUGGAAGAGGUUAUAACGGUUUCGCGGUAAAAAAAUUUGGUUUUUUAUUUAUUUUUAAACUUAAAAAAUGGCCCACAAUGCGCAAUCAGGGAGAUUACAGCGCAGAAAACACAGAGAGGAUGCGUGACUUUCUGGUGAGCGACUCGAUGGCCAACGGGCGAUCGACACGUGGGGAUUUCGAAAAAGACAGGUUGUUAAAUUGCGAGGAAAAAGAUACGACAGGUGUAGGGUGGGAUUUGGUUCUGUUGCUUCUGAUAUUUUUAUUUCGCGGGAUUUCCAGAACAUUCGCUUGGCAUUUUGCGUUUUGGAGUUGAGGGGCGCACAUGCGUGCGGGUGAAGUUACCGUAAUGCCCUUGAGAGUGAUUGGGUGCGUGUCAAUUUUAUAUUCACGUUCAUUAUGAGGAGCUAUGAGUAUCUACUUAAGAAAACCAAAAGGAAUGUGGCGCUGAAUCUGAAUGGGUUUGAAGUCCAUUAAUGCGUUCCAGGGCUUUUCAACAUUUUGUUCCAUAUUCCAUGCCGUGCCCACUGGCUAAUGGGUUUGAUGUGGGCCCAACAUAUUCUUUUCUCGUCAAAUCCAAAUAAAGAGGCCGGGUGUUACGGGAGCUCCUAUAAUCCAGGUCGGUUUAUGUCGUCGAAGUUUCAAUUCAGCUGUCUAAUAAUAAUACUCUUAAAGUGUUGUUGAACGAACUCACAAAUUAACUGUGUUCACUUUACUAAUAAACUAUUUAUUGAAUUAUCAAUUUGCUCUAGUAUAAAAUGACCAAAAAUGAUAUAUUGAAUUGUGAAAUAAAUGUAAUGUUAAUAAAUACACCAUACACUAAAUAAAUAAAUAAAAAUUACACCUUUCUCACUAUAUUCAACCAAAUUGAACUUUUGUUUUCUUUUUCUUUUUCUUUUUCUUUUUCUUUUUUGGGUUUGUUUGUUAACCUCAAUAAUAAUAAAUGAAUAAUUAGGGAGGGACCAACCAUAAAGCCAAGCAGGAUUAACAAAUAUGUAUAGAGAUGGGUUAGUAUUAUGAGACAACCAUCACAAUGUCUGUCUGAUUCAUAUAGAACUGCAUAAUUAAUGACAAUGAUGAUAUUAGUGUGUAUCAGGGGUAUUUUUAAAGUUUUUAUAAUUGUGUAUUAGUGUGUAUCAGGGGUAUUUUUGGUAGUUAAAUAUGGUGUACUUAGUUAAUUUUACAUUUUGAUUUAAAUAUUAAAGUAUGUUUAGAUCAUAGGGUGUACUUAGUUAAUUUCAGAGUUCGUUUAGCAAUGCUCUACUUUUAUUGAUCAGACAACUAUGAAGACUCCCACACUAUAGCCUCAUACAAGUGGUACGCAGCAUAAAUGGGCAUGUAAACCAUAGAGGACCAAGAUAUAGAACCGUUGACGCACGUAAGUUCCACAAUACUGUUAAUAUAUGUGCGGGCGACUCCGAGUAACUGUUAACCUAGAGUCAGAGAAAUGAAAUUCAAAUAUAAAAUAUUUUAUUCUAAUGUCGAUUUCUGAAUACAAAAAUGUGAAUUUGAUGCAGUGCUAAAUAAGGUGUGCUACUUCUCUGUACAUCUGAUACUGAUACUGUUGUGGACGGGGGUUUUGGCCAAAGAGCUAUCAAGUGAACCUCAACUAAUAAUAAUAUUACAGCUGAGGUUGAAUUCUAUGAUGACAAAUAACACACACCACAAACAGGGAAUUUUGCAUGCUCUUCGGCUAGAGAAGUUUGAUUUGACUGAGGAUUUAUGUGUUAGAAGCCCAAAAACUUUGGUGCUAAAUGCAGAAGGGGUUCCAUAGCACUUGGAGCAAAUUUUCUUCCAAAAAGAAAGCAGAUUGAAGAGUUCCGGUCGUUGUAAGUGCAGCGAUGACCCUCGAGCAUUCUCUUGAAGAAUUCCUCAGUGAUAUCAGCUCUUCCAAAGGUAGCUGGGUGAGGUCCACCCCUUGACCAAUCCACCCAAGUGAUGCUUCUGUUUGCUAAGGAAUUCCCUGCUUGAAUGGUUAGCAUGGUGGGGAAAUAGUGCUCAUCAACAUAACAUGCGGGUCUACAGAACUUUUCAAAUUUUUGGUAAAAUGUCGUAUCUUCGACAAUGCUGAUGGCAAGCUUCCGGUUAACUUCAAACCAUUGGGAGCCCUUGCGCCACUGGGUUAUAUUCACUUCAGGUGCCAUGUUAUUAUUAUAGCGUCCUCUCCCGAAUGGCCCAGGGUCGUCAAAUGCACCGAUGAAGCUGUACUUGGAUUUCAUUAAGUAGUGGUAAAUGACACUGAAGUUAUAGAGCGGAAUGCAAGAUUCGGAAACAAGAAUGAACCAUUCAUUGGAUAUGUCAAGCAAUGCAUUAGCAAGGAGCCUUCUCUCAGCAUCACACAUACUCAUUCUUCCCCACUCAGAAACCUGCACAGCAGAAAACCAAAACUCUUAGCAGAUAUGUAAGAGAUAUUGCAUAAUAUCUAUCCAGAUUUGAACAGAAAAAAUUUCUACAGCAGCAACCAAGAUGACCUCAAAGAAAUUAGACAAAACAAGUUAUCCUCAAGCUACAAAGCAACAACAAUAUAAUUUUCCCUGGAUACUCUGUUUUUGAAGCUACUAACUGCGGAUCAUGAGUUUCUCUUUUGUUCAAAACACCCAGGUUAAAAAGUAAAACAAGCAGAGAUUUUAUGGAAUAUGUUCAUGAAUCUGAAAUAAAUACUUGGUAUGUUUCUAUACAAGCUUGAACUCUAUCACAAAGCAUCAUUCACAUAAAUAAUUAAUUUCUUCCUCAUAACCUGAAGGCAGAUAUCAUGACAGUAUGGAAAUGUCAUGAUUGUGGCACGAGAACAAGUCAGGAAUCAAGAACGUAGAUUAAAAAAAAAACAUCAGGACUAUGUGAAGAGGUCCAGGGUGCCACCCCAGUAGUCAAUGCCUUUACAUCAGCUGUUCAUCAUGUACGAAAACAUUUAUGCAUCUGCUUUUUUCAUGUUUAUAAACACAGGUGUUGUAAUAGUCUCAAGAUCCAAAAGUUAGCAGCAGAUGGAGUGGACCUAGUGGAGUUUCACAUGCAGGAUUGUCAAAUUCAUGGAAUAAAGAGUCAAAUCCAUUCACUUAGUUGAGUUUGCACUUGACACACGAGUCCAUGGAACAAAUAGGGCGUCCUGCCCUCCCCAAGAGAUGGUCUAUAUAUCCUACAUCACUGUAAUUCUCAAUACAUGAACAUGAUAAAACUGACCUGUUCCUUUCUACCAACACACAGAAAGGUAGUUUUAACCCUUUCUUUGAUGAUAAGCAAAAAUUACCAACUCUUGGAAAGAUGAAUUUCGGAUUUCAUCAUGUCUUAAGCUUCACAUACAUAACCUAACAUUUUUAAAUGCAAGAGACCAGGGUGUGUGCUCACCACAGAGCAAAUAUAGGAAAUCAAGAUGUGCAGAAAGUAAAAACCAGAUAAACCAGUGAUAGAGAACUAGAUAUCUACGAAUUUACCUCAAAAUAAAAAAUAAAAAAAUAAUUUUGUACUUGCUGAAGGAUGCUUAGUAGAACAUGCAAUCUCACAAAGGAUAGAAUAUGGACCUGGCUAGGAAUGUGUCUCCCAUAAAAAACGGACGAAGUGUGAAAAUGAGGUUGAAAUGACGGCAGUGAAUGAACGUAGAUUGAAUAACGUCCUUCAUGUCCCUUCAGAAACCUCUCCCAAAGGGGUGCCAGCGGCAACGGCCCCCUGGUCAAGAACAUAAAUGCAAUCUUUGGAACUCUCUCAAAAGGAUACUUCUUUAUUCUAGGCAUAAGAGAAGCCCUCCACAAUAAUUCCUUAUCAGUCAUAGUGUGUUGAAGAUUUGAUGGCGGCUUAAUCCACCGGUCCAAACCACUCGGUUCCUCAUAGCAUGGCUGGAAAGAGGACGUGACCGUUGUCAUCACCCCAUUAAUUCCAAAAUGACGAAUCGUCAAUAUGCUAAUGACUGAGAAAGUAAUACAGAAAAGCACAAACAGCACAAACAACUGAAGUAGCCUUAUCGGCAAUGCCUUGGUUUGGUUUGUCCUGCCAGUAACUCCGGGGUCCUUGCCUUCCUCUAAUGGCACAACCCUUGAUUGCAUGGUUUGCAUCUUGAUUAAAACACUGCACCAAAAUCAAUUUCUAGCUCUUCUGAUUACUACAGAGUACCUCCAAGUCUCAAAAUUUUGGACACCUAUUGACUUCUCUCAAACAAGAAAACCCACAGUCCAAAAUUGCAUCUUGCAUCACAAACGGUGAAGUGAACACGAAUUUAAUCACAUUGGAAUCUGAAUCACUCAGUUUUCUUCAAAACUGCAACCCCACCAAAUAAAAACACACUGCACAGAUCUGAAACUAAUACUACAGUACUGAACACAUACUGCGUAAAAAAUUUUAACUUCAGCACAUGGGUUCUUAAUAAACUGAGCUUAUAUCAACGAUCUAAGCUAAGAUCAUACAAAUAUGGAUCGAACUUCUCUUUCACCAGAGAAAAAAGUAUGACAUACCAUGUGACUUUUGAGGUUGAAAGCUAAAUUGAUGAAGACGAAUGAAGGAUUUAGAUCCUUGUAUUUGACUGCUUGAAUUGCGCCCAAGAAUACGGGAAGUGGUCAAUUGGAUGAAGAACAAGAGAACAGAAGGAGGAGGUCACGCAGAGGAGACUUUGGCGGCAGAAACAAAAAGGUGCAGUGACCAAUAAUAAUGAGAGAGUUUGAAAAACUUGGGGAGAAGUCUUGACCGAGUGUGCGCGUUGUGUGUGAGAUGAGAGAAUUGUGAGGAAGACGACGACUCUGUGAUGAUCUGUAGAAUCUCAAGUUUUAAGAAUGUCUCUCACACGGUGCGGUGCGAGUGAGGAGGGAGAGGGGAUCCAGCUUGUCGGCUAACUUGGGAGUGUGAUAUAUAAGCACCCAUCCAGUUUCAUAGCUUGGUGGAAAAACGAACUUGCCUCAUCUGUUGCGUGUGUGUAUUUUUGGGUAAAUUCAUUAGUGACUAAAAUGAUAAAAAUCGACCUUCGGAUGCGAUUACUAUGUUUUGAUUAUUUUUUUUCUUUUUUAGUAGAAGCGAUAGUUUCUAAACUGAAUGAAAGUGGAAUUUCUCACACACACACAUCUAUAAUGUCAUGGAGAUUCAAACUUGAGACCUCUAUUAUGCAAGUUAAAAUUUUUCCACGCAAUAGACCCUGUUGGCGAUACACUUUGAUUUUAAGAUGGGCAGAUAACAAUAGAAACUUUAUUUUAUUUAUUAUUAAUUGCAAGCACCCUAUUGGAACACGUUUCACCCUAUUGGAGCAUAAUUAGCAUCAAAGCAAGAAAAUCAACUAUUUUCCCCCCUCAUAGCCGCAUAAAAGAACAGAUAAAAGGAUAGAGUAUAGAAGCCUAAGUACAGAUGUAAAUGUAAUUAUUGGUUAGAGAUUGGGUUUAGUUUAAACAAGUUAAUGAGGCUUUGAUUGGUUGUUGAAGCUUAAUGUCUUAUGGUGGUGGAGAACCCAAUUGUAUCAAACAACGUAAUAAACACGACGUGGUGUAGUUGGGCAGACCGCAAGUCUUGGCCUCUAGUUAGGUGGGAUUUCAGUUCUUUCACCAAACCAAACAAGCCAUGAGGAAAGCUAAAGAAAGUCUAAAGGUAGGAGCCAUAUGUAGGAUCAAAUCUGCCUAGUAACCAGUUGUAUAUCCCCUUCUGUCUACAACACUUUACAUUACGUAAUCGGUUGCAUAUUUCUAUUCUAUCUGUUUAAAACAAUCAUCAUCUAUAUAUAUAAAGCAAAAGGUAGAGAAUGGUGAAACAUUCAAAAUACCAGAAAAUAUCCUUGGUUAAUGCAAACAUUAAGAACUAAACUUAUUAAUUAAAUGAGGAUAAUAUGGUAAAUUUACACUUUUUAUAAAAAAUUAAAAUUAAAUAAAAAAUAAUGGAUCUUAUUUUUAUGGAACACUUUUUAAUUCUAAAAAAAUUUUAAAUUUUUUUUAAAAAAAUGCCUCUCGCAAGCGCGUGCAGAGAAGCUAGUGUUACAUAAUGAGUGUUGUAGACACGAGAAUACAAAACCGGAGAUAGCUAAGAUUCUCUCCAUAUGUUGAGUCUACACCUACCUACAACCGCAUCUAAGAUUCCCCCAGCAAUAAGGACACAGGGACAGCUGAGGAUCCAAAAUGGUUCAUAUACAUGGGGUCCCGAUCUCGAUCUAAACUUCGUUAAAAAUAAAGUUGAUUGGUUGAUAGAAUCAACCACACUCAAAAAAACAAGCAGUUUUAACUCGAGAGAGGAGUAGAAUCAACCACACUAAAAAAAAUAAGCAGUUUUAACUCGAGAGAGGAGUAGAAUCAUAAAGCCUUCGCUGCUGUGAAUGGCGAUCCUGCAAAACAAUUCAUGAUGUAACUGUGAUUUGCAAAGAAAACCAUCCAUGCAUUCAUUUUGAACGUGUGAUAUAAUAACACGUCAUAUCGACAAUGAGAUCCUUGAAAACUGAGCAACGUCACAACAUUAGGUCUGUAAUUUGCCAGUAUAUCUACUGUCUAUGAAAACGCCAAAGUUGAAGACUAAAACUAAGAUACUACAGAGCGUUUUCUGCUCACAGUCACAGCACAUGAAACAGCUAAGAUGUAGAUGUUUCUAUCUUAUUCACAAAGGAACAGUUAGCUCCACAUCCCAAAUUCUAUAUACCAUGGCAUAUUUCUUGUAGCAUAUACCACUCUACUUCACCACAAAACUGGCACGGAGGUUGGAAACCAUAACUGGGCACUCUCCCUUCUCAUCAUAUUCAACAAAGUCCCCUCCCGACAAGUCAACAUGGUCAAAUUUUGUCCCUUCCACCUACAAGAAUGAACACUAGUUUAAGUUGAAAUAAAGAUGCAUCCAGCAGAGUCGAUUGCAGUACAUAAAAAUGAAAACUAGAACUUCAAAAAUCGAAACUAUUCUCCUAUUUUCAAAAAUUCAACAAUUCAAAUGCAAAAAUUCAAUUCACUGGGGCCUCUAGUAAUUCGUUUUUCACUCCUUGUUUCUUUUUCUAAAUUUCAUUAUCAAUCUAAUUUUCACUUUUAUUCUCCUUGGGGUAGGGAAUGGCGAUAGGCGGGCAUGACACUCCUGGCCAAGCAGAACAGUAAAAAUGAGUUGACAUUUGGUGACACCAUCUCUGGUCCAAUCCACAUGGUAGGCUUCCAUAGUAAAUCUAGUGUACAAGACAAUUAUACUGUUUGUGGGAUGCCCUUAACGUCAGAAAAAUAAAAUAUCACUAUUUUCUGCAGUUCCCACCUCUUGAAUAUGAUAUGCUCAUGAGAUGUACUAACCUUAAGAUCUUUAUGCUAAAGGACAGAGACCUGAGCUUUCUCACCCCAAAAAGAAAGGAUCAGAACUCAAAAGGACAAAAAUACCAAAAUAAGCUUUGAAAGGCGCUACCACAUUAUGGAAUAGGAUAUGCAAUCCUUAAUGCUUAAUGUACUAUGUACUAUAAGUACAAACAAGGAGAGUUAAGAAGAGAAGAAUAAAAGAAUUUAUACAUAUGCGCUGAAGUUCAUAGGAGUUAGUGAGAUUUAGUGCUUAGGAAUGUUCGCACGAUUACUAUUUAUAAGACCAUUCAGCUCAAAGGUCCCAGCAAAGUCAUUUUCCAUCCAUAAGUACAAUAAGAAAGUUUUAUACAAUAUGCUACAUAAUUGGAAGGUGGUGUGUGAAGAAGAGAAACUUACAGAUUCAACCUUCCACCCACUAGCAAAUACAUAGUCCACAGGCUCAUAACCCCUGCACUCAAACAUCAUCAAGGGGGAAAAUUUCCUUUCUUCACACAUUUGCUGGGUCAGUGGUUUACCAUGACCUGGCAUCAUUGUCAGAGUUCCAUCCCUUCCACAAAACUUGCACUACAAGGGGAGAUGCAAAUCACCACACAUAUAUAGCAAACUUAACCAGAAAAUAUUCGUUCAAAGAUAAAACAUAAAGGGAACAACCCCCAUAUCCAUGAAUUGAAGAUAUGCAAUAGUAAUAACUUAUGUCAACGUAGUUGACUCAUAUGUCAUCAAAUAGAAACUGCACAGAGAAAUGUGUUGGAACCCACACAUGUAAACUUUAACCAAGAGAAGAGAAAUGAAAUCCCGAUAAAAUCUCAAAGUUGUCGCUACAAUUAGGCACCCAAACAAACAAAGCAUUUGCUCAACCAAACAAGCAUACUACAGAAAACACAAACUACCAUAACUCUUCUGUUCCUUUCCUUCUAUUUCCUCAGAAACUAAAUAUACUUCAAUAAGCUCUUAAAUUCCAAAGCCCAUUGAGCAAUUAGUAGAGAGAGAGAGAGAGAGAGAGAGAGAGAGAGAGAGAGAUAAUGGUUACCUUCUGAACGAGAUUAACGGUUGCCUUGCCCGAUGGAAGAGGAACAGUCUCGUUCAAGCUCACACAAGUUUCCCUCUGGCUCAGCUCUCCACACCUCUCACAUUUCAACUGCAAGAUUACAAAAAGAAUAGAAUCAUGUUAAUAAUGACUAUAUCAAGCUCGGGAGACUAAGCGACGAACAUCGACGUCAAUUUUAAGCUACAACCCCUAGAAAUCUGAACACGAACACCAACUAUAAUGACAAAAUCGACUGCAUUUUUGGAGCAAAAAACUUGACGAAAGGAAAUGAAGGUGACCUUGAAGAGAUAGGAAAAGUUGGGGUCGUUGCAGCCUUCCUGGGGCUGAAGGUUCGUCAGGUUCUCGAGGUCCGCAGCGAUCUGAAGUAAAAAUUUCACCAUUUUCGAUUUGGCGUCAAUCUCGAGCUGCUCACCGCGUCUUUGUCUCACUGUGUGUAGCUAGUGGCAGGAUGAGUAAUAAAUAAGGGGGGCUUGGGCGACGAAUAGACGCUAUCAGUUAAACGGCGUCGUUGUGCGGAAUUUAAUUUUUUUCCGACACGGGGAUUUUUAGCUCAAGUUAACUACAAUUUACCCUAAAAUCGAUGGCCUAUGUUCGAAUCAUCUUUCUUAAUAUCGUUUGUAUUUUAAAAAAUAUUAAAUUAUAUGAAUCAUAUUGUGAUACCUGUUACAAAGAGAAGUUUAAUAUUAUGAAAGUCUUUCAAGUAGCAAAUGUGAAUUAGGUCAGUUAGUCAAAGUAGUGUGUCCAUCUUUUUUCACAUUAGUUUUUAGAUUUAUGAUAAUAGUACUUCAUUUGAAAUUUUGAAGGCCAUUGAAGUGAAGGAACCAAAGCAAUAUUGUAGGAAUUUAACAAUCAUUUUGCCAUUCUAAUUUGUGAGGACACGUCAUAAUGUUAGUCCUCAUACCAUUUUCCAUUUUACACACCGCAGUUCAAAUAUUGGACCAAAAAACAAAACGAAAUUGGCAUGAUUGGAAGGUGAACCAUGCAAAGUUUGCAGAUAUGUAAUCAGAAUCAUGUGCUACAUAUUAUGGAGGCACUGUCCUUGAAGAGAUUCAACUAGUGUUGGGAUCUUAGCCCAUCUCAUAUACUGAAAGAAAGAUAAUUUCCAUUUCAUGAUUUUGGGUGUUUGUGAUUAGUUAACAACAAAUUAAUGGGGGGAAGGGGGUUGUUUGGUGGUGAAGGGAUUGGAAUAAGGGGCAUAAUGGUAAUUAUGUUGGGAGCAACUGUGACUCUUAUUAGAUGUGGGGUGCUUGUGGAGGGUAAGUUGUUCUCUAAACAGAAGAUUUUGGAAGCCGAAAGACAAUUAAACCAACUUAGAAGGCCUGCAGUUAAAACCAUUCAGGUAAGAAUUGUCCAGAACUUGAGCCCUUCACAUAAGUUUUCUGCAUUGUAUUCAUUUACUCAGUUCAUAUUAAUCUCUAUGAUUGCUUGUAGAGUGAAGAUGGUGAUAUCAUUGAUUGCAUUGACAUCUACAAGCAGCCAGCUUUUGAUCAUCCUGCUCUCAGAAACCACACCAUCCAGGUCUGCCUUCUGUUGUGCAAGUUGAAAGUAGACAAAGAUUUACUCUGCAACUUUAAUCUUUUUGCUACCAUAUAACAACUGCUUUGAGUCUUUUUUUCAGAUGGCACCAACAUAUGAUACAACCAAGGAGACAAAGACAAUGAAAAAAAUGGACAGAUGGAAGAAGAGGAAUGAAGAACAAUCUCCCAUUACCGUGAAGCAAACAUGGCACAAAAGUGGAAGCUGUCCUCAGGGAACAAUCCCGGUCCGAAGAAUCCAGAAAAAGGAGCUUCUGAGAGCUAGCUUGGUUAAGGACUAUGGAAGAAAGAAGCACAGUUCUACCUUGUCUCGUCAUGUUUCACAGUUAAGUGACAACAAAACUGUGUACCUUCAACGAGCAAACCACUCGGUACAUCAAUUCCCCACACACACAUUUUUAAUUCAUUGGAAAAUUAACUACAACUAUACACCUAAUGAAGAGGGUUUUUUUUUCUCUGUGUGUAAUUUGUGAUGGCAUCAGAAGGCAAUAUUGUUUACAGAAGGGUACAGAUAUAAUGGAGCCAAAGGAGACAUCAAAGUUUAUAACCCAUCUGUCGAGCUUGAUGAUGAAUAUAGUACUUCUCAAGUUUGUCUCAUAAAUGGUGCUUAUUAUGACUUUGAGAGUGUUGAAUCUGGAUGGGCGGUAUAUAUAUAUUAACAUAAUAAACCCUUUCACUUUCAUCUUGAAGCUACUUACUUCUUCUGUCAUAUUAUGUUCAUGGCAUAACUUUUUAGUCUGAAAAAUUACUCUAAUCCCUCUUCAGGUAAAUCCCAGUGUAUACGGGGACAGACAGACUCGAUUUUUCGUGUAUUGGACUGUAAGCAGCCAUGAAUAAAGACUUAACAUUCAUGCGAGUAAUUCCACUAGAUUUGAUGUGAUUUCUGAUGUUUCUGCAGGUUGAUGGCUCACAGAAAACUGGUUGCUUUGAUCUCACUUGUCCUGGAUUUGUUCAGACUAGCCAUGAAAUUGCUCUUGGUGCAGCAAUCCAUCCAAUCUCUGUUCCUCAUGGGCUUCCAUAUCAAAUAAUAGUCUACAUCUACAAGGUCAGGUCAACAGUUUAACAACAUAACGCGCUUGAUGAACAGUUUAGCAACAUAACAUGUCUAACAUUAUUCGUAAUACUAAAUAAGUUUUCCUAUCGUAUCUUCAAUUGAAUUUCUUUUUUGUUUUGCCUCCAAAUUUAGGAUCCAGUAACAAGCAACUGGUGGGUGCAAUAUGGGGAGAGAAUUAACAUCGGUUACUGGCCGCCGGAGCUGUUUGUUUUAUUGAGCUACCAUGCAACAAGUGUUGAAUGGGGAGGUGAAGUUUAUAGCUCAAGAGUGGGAACUACGCCUCACACAAGAACAGAUAUGGGCAGUGGACACUUUGCUGAGUCAUCAGUUUGGGGGACUUCAGGCGUCAUAAAAAGAAUUCGAGUACAUGAGAAUUCACCUGGGCUGAAAUUCCCUGAUAUAGUUAAUACUUUGAUGGAUGAGUUCAACUGUUAUGAUGUCAAGUAUCUUUCGGAUUAUGUUGAAGAUCCUGAGUUCUAUUAUGGAGGGCCUGGUAGAAAUUAUAUGUGCCCUUAAGCUUAUGUUAACUUUGCUAGGACUUGUUUAAGACCCCAUUAGAAUGGGUAAUUAUGUUGUUUUAAACUUUCAUUAGUUAUUUUUUCAAUAUCAAACUCUGUAAACCCCAUCUUAUUUCUCAAAAUGACAUAGUUUUAGACAUAGACACGAUACAAGCACUAAAAACACAAGUGGAUAAUCCUAUUUCGUCCCCAAAAGGAAAAGCCUUAGAGAGUGGAAAUCUCCUAAUAAAUUGGUAAAAAUUAGGCAUAUUAAUUUUAAUUUCUAUCCAGAGGUUGCGCAAUAUUUGAAUUCAGAUUUAGAGGGAAGUGAAGUUUUUGGUGUAUAGGCAUCGAUUGUGUGUUACACUAACAUAACAUGUAUAACUUUGCACAAACGACUUGGAAUUUCAUUUUUUAUAUAUAUAAUAAUCGAGAAAAAUAUUUGUCUCAUUUCUUAAAAUGAGUCAUUCCUCCUUACAUGCAAAUUACAAUUUGACAUGAUCUACACGUGUUAGGUUGACUCGUUUAAUUCUACUAUUGACACGUAGCAUUAUCUCCUAAUAACAUAGAAAUUUAACAAUCAUACUGUAGAAAUUUAACAAUCAGUUCAUACUGUAGAAACCAAGCCAUACUGUAGAAAUUUAACGAUCAGUUCUUCUUUGGCUAAAGAUUUAUGUAGCUGGGUUUACCAAGGUUAAGGACACACUUGUCCAAAUAUUCAACAGCUACCAUUUUGAAUUUAACACUUGGCAAUUCAAAUAUAGAAUAAAAAUGUGAAAUUUGCAUGAUUUGGAAGGUGAAUCAUGCAAAUUUUGCAGUAUAUGUAGUUUGCAGAAGAUAUGUAUGCUGCACAUUGUGGGUGGCAUUGUCCUUAAAUAACCUAAGCUUAACUUAGAUUCUGAAAGCAAGAUAAUCAGUUUCCAUUUUAUGAUUUUGGGUAUUUAAAUUACCUGAGAUUUAGUAUAUAAUCAAACAAAUGGGGAAAGGGUUGUGUAGUGGUGAAGUGAUUAGAUUAAGGGGGAUGAAGAUGAUGGUAAUUAUGUUGGGAGUGACAGUGACUCUAAUUAGAUUUGGGGUGCUUGUAGAGGGUGAUUUGUUCUCUAAACAAAAGAUUUUGGAAGUUGAAAGAAAAUUAACCCAACUUAGAAGACCUGCAGUUAAAACCAUUCAGGUUUGAAUUGUCCAGAAUGAGCCCUCCACACAUAAGUUUUUUUAUUAUUGUAUUCAUUCUCAGCUCAAAUGAUUGUUUGCAGAGUGAGGAUGGUGAUAUCAUUGAUUGCAUUGACAUUUACAAGCAGCCAGCUUUUGGUCAUCCUGCUCUCAGAAACCACACCAUCCAGGUCUGCCUUUCUGUUGUUCUAGCUGAAAGUAAAAAAAAGAAAAGAUUUACUCUGCAACUUCAAUCUUUUUACUACCAUAUAACAAGUGGUUUGAGUCUUUUUUUAGAUGGCACCUACAUAUGAUGCAACAAAGGAGACAAAGACAAUGGGAAAAAUGGACAGAUGGAAGAAGAGGAAUGAAGAACAAUCUCCCACUACAGUGAAGCAGACAUGGCACAAAAGUGGAAGCUGUCCUCAGGGAACAAUCCCGGUCCGAAGAAUCCGGAAAAAGGAGCUUCUGAGAGCCAGCUCGGUUAAGGACCAUGGAAGAAAGAAGCACAGUUCUACCCUGUCUCGUCAUGUUUCAGAGUUCAGUGACAACAAAACUGUGAACCUUCAACGAGCAAACCACUCGGUACACCAAUUCUCCACACACACAUUUUUUAAUUAAUUGGUAAAUUAACUACAACUAUACAUCUAAUGGAGAGGGGUUUUUUUGUUUUUUGGUUUUUGUGUUUGUGUAAUUUGUGAUGGCCUCAGAAGGCAAUAUUGUUUACAGAUGGGUAUAGAUAUAAUGGAGCCAAAGGAGACAUCAAAGUUUAUAACCCUGCUGUUGAGCUUGAUGAUGAAUAUAGUACUUCUCAAGUUUGUCUCAUAAAUGGUGCUUAUUAUGACUUUGAGAGUGUUGAAUCUGGAUGGGCGGUAUAUAUAUUAAAAUUAAUAAACCUUUUCACUUUCAUCUUGAAGCUACUUACUUCUGUUACAUUUUAAGUUCACGGCAUUACUUUUUAGUCUGAAAAAAUGCUCUGAAUCCCUUCAGGUAAAUCCCAGCGUAUACGGGGACAGACAGACUCGAUUUUUCGUAUACUGGACUGUAAGCUGGCAUGAAUCAUAAAUUAGUUUUCAUAUGAGUAAUUCCACUAGAUUUGAUAUGAUUUCUGAUGUUCCUGCAGGUUGAUGGUUCAAAGAAAACUGGUUGCUUUGAUCUCACUUGUCCUGGAUUUGUUCAGACUAGCCAUGAAAUUGCUCUUGGUGCAGCCAUCUAUCCAAUCUCUGUUCCUAAUGGGCUUCCAUAUCAAAUAAUAGUCUACAUCUACAAGGUCAGGUCAAUAAUUUAACAACAUAACGUACCUAACCGAUAGUUUAGCAACAUAACAUGUCAACAUUACUACUUGUAACACGAUAAUAGGUUUUCUUCUCGUAUCUUCGAUUGAAUUUCUUUCUGUUUUUGUCUCCAAAUAUAGGAUCCGGUAACAAGCAAUUGGUGGGUGCAAUAUGGGGAGAAAAUUAACGUCGGUUAUUGGCCGCCGGAGCUGUUUGUUGCACUGAGCUACCAUGCAACGAGUGCUGAAUGGGGAGGUGAAGUUUAUAGCUCAAGAGUGGGAACAACUCCUCACACAAAAACAGAUAUGGGCAGUGGACACUUUGCUGAUUCUGUUUGGGGGACUUCAGGCGCCAUAAGAAGAAUCCGAAUACAUGAGAAUUCACCUGGGCUGAAAUUCCCUGAUAUAGUUACUACUUUGAUGGAUGAGUUCAACUGUUAUAAUGUUAGGUAUCUGUCAGAUUAUGUUGAAGAUCCUGAGUUCUAUUAUGGAGGGCCUGGCAGAAAUUAUAUGUGCCCUUAAGCUUAGCUUAGCUUUGCUAGGACUUGUUUAAGACCCAUUAGAAUGGGUAAUUAUGUCGUUUUAAACUUUCAUUUAUUUUUCCAAUAUAAACUAUAAAAACCCAAAACUCUUAUCCUCAAAAUAACGUAGUUUUGGACAUAAACACCAAAAACACAGAUGAUUCUAUUUGUGAGAAUGUGAAGGUAAAGAGUCCCACAUUGGAAAGUUGAGAAACCUAGCAAGGGCUUAUAAGGAGUUGGGUUACUCCCCCCAUUGCCAAUUGGUUUUGGGGUAGAACCUCAACUUCCUUCAUGGUAUCAGAGCAAGGCUUCACAUGUUGAGCCCAACAGCCACACGUGCUCCCACGUCACCCAAUAUGUGUUGUCCACGUGUUAGGCUUGAAAGUUCGCCACACGUGCGGGGGCGUGUUGAGAGUGUUUGUCCCACAUUGAAAUGUUAAGGGACCUAGCCUGGGUUUAUAAGGAGUUGGGCAACUCCCCCCAUUGCCAAUUGGUUUUGGGGUGGAACCUCAACUUCCUUCAUGGUAUCAGAGCAAGGCUUCACGUGUUGGGCCCAACGGCCACACGUGCUCCCACGUCACCCAAUAUGUGUUGUCCACGUGUUAGGCUUGAAAGUUCGCCACACGUGCGGGGGCGUGUUGAGAGUGUCACGUGCUCCACGUCACCCAAAAUGUGUUGUCCACGUGUUAGGCUUGAAAAUUCGCCACACGUGCGGGGACGUGUGAGAAUGUGAAGGUAAAGAGUCCCACAUUGGAAAGUUGAGAAACCUAGCAAGGGCUUAUAAGGAGUUGGGUUACUCCCCCCAUUGCCAAUUGGUUUUGGGGUGGAACCUCAACUUCCUUCACUAUUUCAUCCCAAAAAAGAAAAGCCUUAUGGAGUGGAAAUCUCCUCAUUAAUUGGUAAAAUUUUGCGUUAGUUACUUACCAUCUUCAAUUUGACCGAAGUUCUAUCCAAAGGUUGCACAAUAUUUGAAUUUAGAUUUAGAGAGAAGUGACGUUUUUGGUGUAUUGGCGUCGAUUAUGUAUACAUUAACAAGUUCAAUUUUGCACAAAGGACUUGGAAUUUUUUUAUUUUUUUUAUAAAUAAUAAAUCAAGAAAAAUAUUUGGUUCCUUGUUAAAAAUGAGUCAUUCAUUUUCAGAAUGCAAAUUAAUUUGACAUGAGUGUAAAUUUUUUAACAUGCUUUUAAUAAGUUAUUUAUGUAUAAGUGUUAAGUUGCGAUUUGAAUGUAAGGAGAAACGACUCAGUUAGUUCUAUAAAUCAAACUAGAAGAAACACAUACACAUCCGUGUGUAAUUUGCUAAUUUGUAAUACCGGUUGCAAAGAGAAAGUAGGUAUGGUGGAAGCCUUAAAAGUCCCCCAAUACAUUGUAUAGCCGUGCGGCUCUACUUUUAAAAUUUUCUAUUUAUAAAGUAUAGCCGGCUAUACCCUAAAAACGCCGUGAAAGCAAAUUCUUUCUUUAUAUAUACUAGCCUCUCUACACGCGCUUCCGCGCAUGCGAGAGGUUUUUUUAAAAAAAAUUUUAAAUUUAUUUUAGAAUUAAAAAAGAUAAUAGAUAUUUGUGUUCCAUAAAAAUAGGAUCCAUUAUCUGAAUUUUCUUUUUUUUUUAAUUUUUUUAAUGCGAAAAAUUGUGAAUUUACCAUAUUAUCCUCAUUUAAUUAAUAAUUUCAAUUCUUAAUGUUUGCAUUAACCAAGGGUAUUUUCUGGUAUUUUGAAUGUUUCACCAUUCUCUGCCUUUUGCUUUAUAUAUAUAGAUAGAUAUAUACAUUACCGCCCAAUAGAUUUGUAAUUCAAAGCCGUGCGGCUAUACUAUUUUUUAUAAUAACAACCAUAGUAUAGCCGACCGGCUAUACCCUUUUUAUUAUAUAAAAAAAAUCCGAGUAUAAGUACCAUUUUUAAAAGAGGACCCACUGGAGCCUAGCGCCCCCUUUUGCCAUGUGUCAAAAAUAGUACAGCCGAGCGGCUAUACGCAAUUAAUUAUAAAAAAAUAAGUGUAGCCGAGCGGCUAUACUAUUUAUAAUAAAAAAGGGCCACCGCUUAACGAGCAUGGCCAAAGUAUAGCCGCGCGGCUAUACUCUAUAAAUAUAAUAUUCUGAAGGUAUAGCCGGUUGGCUAGACUCAUACUCGUUUGCCCGUAAUUUGUUUUUAAAAAGUAUAGCCGACCGGCUGGACUCGGCAUUUUCUUAAUUGUUUUUUAAAAAUAGUAUAGCCGAGCGGCUAUACCCGGGUUUUUAAUUUUAUUUUAGGGUUCAGGGUUUAGGGCGGCUAUACUCGUUUUCCCCUAAUUUUUUUAAGAAAUAGUAAAGCCGAGGGAAGGAAUCAAGCCAUAUUGUAGAAAUUUAACAAUCAUUAAUUCAUUGGCUAAAGAUUUGUGUAGCUAGGUUUAACCAAUUCUAAGGAAUUGUUUAAAUAUUCAACAGGAUACCAUCUUGAAUUUAACAUGUGACAAUUCAAAUAUUGAAUAAAAAUGUGAAAGUUGCAUGAUUGGAAGGUGAAUCAUGCAAAUUUUGCAGAUAUAUAUAGUUAUCAGAAAAUAUAUAUAGGUUUAGGAAGAUAACCCAAGCUCAUCUUAGAUUCUGAAAGGAAGAUGAACAAUCUCCAUUUUAUAAUUUUGGGUAUUUGAAUUACCUGAGAUUUAGUACAUAUCAGACAGAGUUUAGUUAACAAAAAAUGGGGAAAGGGUUGUCUGGUGGUGAAGUGAUUAGAUUAAGGGGGAUGAUGGUAAUUAUGGUGGGAGUGACAGUGACUCUAAUUAGAUGUGGGGUGCUUGUGGAGGGCAAUGUGUUCUCUAAACAGAAGAUUCUGGAAGUUGAAAGAAAAUUAACCCAACUUAGAAGGCCUGCAGUUAAAACCAUUCAGGUUUGAAUUGUCCAGAACUUGACAUAAGUUUUCUUCUCAUUGUAUUCAUUUAAUCAGCUCAUAUGAUUGCUUGUAGAGUGAGGAUGGUGAUAUCAUUGAUUGCAUUGACAUUUACAAGCAGCCAGCUUUUGACCAUCCUGCUCUCAGAAACCACACCAUCCAGGUCUCCCUUGUAUAAGUUCUAGUUGAAAGUAAACACAUUUUUCUUCUCUGUGACAUUAUAUAUUUACUGAUAAUCUAACAAAUGCUUUGAGUCUUUUUUCAGAUGGCACCAACAUAUGAUCUGACGAAGGAGACAAAGACAAUGACAAAAAUGGAUAGAUUGAAGAAAAGGAGUGAACAAUCUUCCGUGACAGCAAAGCAAACAUGGAAGAAAAGUGGAAGCUGUCCUCAAGGAACGAUCCCAGUCCGAAGAACUCGAAAAAAGGACCUGCUUAGAGCUAGCUCAGUUAAGGACUAUGGAAGAAAGAAGCACAGUACCCUGUCUCGUCAUGUUGCAGAGCCUAGUGACAACAAAUCUGUCUACCUUCUACGAGCAAACCACUCGGUACAUUAACUUCCCAUUUUCACAUUUUUAAUUGAUAAAUUAAUCACAUCUCAUGAAGAGGGGUUUUUUUUUUGUUGGUAAUUUGUGAUGUCCUCAGAAGGCAAUAUUGCUUACAGAAGGGUACAGUUAUACUGGAGCCAAAGGAGACAUAAAAGUUUGUGCCCCUUCUGUUGAGCUUGAUGAUGAAUAUACUACUUCUCAAGUUUGUCUCAUAAACGGUCCAAGUUUUGCCUUUGAGAGUGUUGAAUCUGGAUGGGCGGUAUAUUAACAUAAACCCUUUCACUUUCAUCUUGAUGCUACUUACUUCUGUUACAUUCUAUGUUCAUGGCAUAACUUUUAGUCCGAAAAAUUACUUGGAAUCCCUCUUUAGGUAAAUCCAAGCGUCUAUGGGGACAGAAAUACUCGAUUUUUCUUAUACUGGACUGUAAGUUGACGUGUUUCAUGACUUAGUUUUCAUGUGAGUAAUUCCACUAGACUUGAUGUGAUUUCUGAUGUUCCUGCAGGCUGAUGGUUCAAAGAAAACUGGUUGCUUUGAUCUUACCUGUCCUGGAUUUGUUCAGACUAGCCAUGAAAUUGCUCUUGGUGCAGCAAUUUAUCCAAUCUCUGCUCCUGAUGGGCUUCCAUAUGAGAUAAUUGUCUACAUCUUCAAGGUCAGCUCAACAGUUUAGUAACAUAACAUGUACAGUUUAGCAACAUAUAUAUCUGAUAUCUGAAAAAGACAAUGUAAUAUUAAGUGUUCUUCUCAUAUCUUCGAUUGAGUUUCUUUUUUAUUUGCUUCCAAAUUUAGGAUCCAGUAACAAGCAAUUGGUGGGUGCAAUACGGGGAGAGAAUUAACAUCGGUUAUUGGCCUCCGGAGCUGUUUUUUGCAUUGAGCUAUCAUGCAACAGGUGUUGAAUGGGGAGGUGAAGUCUAUAGCUCAAGAGUUGGAACUACUCCCCACACAAAAACAGAUAUGGGGAAUGGACGCUUUGCUAGUACUGCGGGAUUUUCAGGUGUCAUAACAAGAAUGAGAAUACAUGACAAUUCACCUGCACUGAAAAUCCCUGAAUGGGCUGAGACUUACAUGGACGAGUUCAAUUGCUAUGAUGCUAUCUAUGUUGAAGACUACGUUGAAGAUCCUGAGUUCUAUUAUGGAGGGCCUGGUAGAAAUUAUAAGUGCCCUUAAACUUAGCUUAGCUAGGAAUUGUUUAAGACAACACAAGUCGAUAAUACAAUUUCGUCCCGAAAGGGAGAACAUUUCCAAUUAUCAAUGUUUACCAAAAUGGCAUAUCAGCUUAAUUUCCAGGUUUCCAAAUGAGGUUUUUUUCUUGGUAGGUAACAUGGAAUCUGUGUUUGUAUGUAGUCGGUAUAGCAUAUCUUAGAAGAAAGUGAGACAGAAAGGUAACAGAGAUGUUAAGCAAAUGUCCACGAUUCACAAUAUGUGACUCUCUAAAUUAAAUGAAGGGACAAAAUGCUGCUAAUGGGAACAUCUUAAUUCACUGGAUAAAGAUAAAACCCGUUUUCUGUACAUGCAAUUAUGUCCAAAUAUUGCACCAAGACAAGAGUACUUAUUAUGUUUCUAUAUUUAAGAGAGGCGUGCAUGAACUGCACAUUUGACAUGUGGAUGAAGCCGCGAGGACUUGCAUCAUAUAUAUAAUAACACAUUAUCUUCUUUCUUUUCAACCAGACAUGCCUUCAUUUGGUUUCUCAAAGGUUAAUUUUACCACCUAAUUAUCCUGUUAAUUUUAUCUAUAGCUUGAUUGUAUCUCUCUGUGUGUACAAGAGUGUAAGUGAGACACAAAAAGAGAUUGAAGAUGGGGAAGAAGAGGGCUUUAAUGUUCUCGUUAGCAUUGGGAUUGUUUGUUUUUUGUGUUAGUGCAGCAGAACAUCACCAUGUGAAGGCUAAAACUAAACGAAUUUCUUUGGAAGUUCAUAAGAAGUUGAAGCUUUUGAAUAAGCGUGGCGUGAAGACUAUCAAGGUCUGAUUUUCUGCCAUUUUUAUUAGCUUUCUGACUAAUCACACUUUCACAGAAUUUUAUCUAUAUCAGAUCUGUUAUACAAUUUUCUUUCAGCAGUCUUCUCCAUUUCAAAAUUUAGCUCAACCCUUUGUGCUAUUGCCUCUGCUGUCUUAAAUUUCACAAUUUCUUCUUUGUUGUGCUACUGCUAUGACUUGGUAAGCUCAGAGGACUGACUGUAUGUUUUACCACUUGAUUAUUUGAUUUCUUGCAGAGUGAGGAUGGAGAUAUCAUUGACUGUGUUGACAUCUACAAACAGCCUGCUUUUGAUCAUCCGGCAUUGCGCAACCACAAAAUUCAGGUCGACUUUUAAACCUUUGUACAUUUGGAGAAUGUAUGAAACAAAAAAUAAAACAUUCUCCAAGUUUUAAAAACGUUUUAAAAACAAUCUCCAAGUUUUAAAAACGUUUUAAAAACAAUCAUGUUUUCUUCCAAAUGUUGAUAUAGUUGGUGUAUAAUAUUGCAGAUGAGACCCAGUAAUCAUGUACAAAAUGAUCAUAAUUCUUCUCAGCUGGUAUCUCAAAUUUGGCAAAGGAGCGGAAGCUGUCCAGACGGAACCAUUCCCAUUCGGAGAAUUCGAAAGCAAGAUUUAUUGAGAGCUACUUCACUUGAAAACUUUGGGAAGAAAAUGCCAGUGCAUUCUUCCUACUCCCCCACAGAUGACAAGGGCACUGUGUACAUCAACAGCACCCGAGUCGAACUCGGGCCUCAAGUCAAUCGUUCAGUAAGCAAACAUCGUGAAGAUUUAAUUAACAAAGUUUACUUUGAUCCUUGUCUAACUUGUGCAAAACUGUGUUUGCUAGGCUGCUAUCCUGUUAACUACUGGAUACAAUUACAUAGGUGCUCAAGGAGAUAUAAAUAUUUGGACUCCAAGAGUUGAAUCACCAGAUGAGUUCACUACUGCUCAAAUCUGGCUUAAGAAUGGACCUGGAGAGGCUUUUGAAAGUGUAGAAUCAGGCUGGGUGGUAAGUAGUAUAUUAUGGUAACUUCAUUUGGAAAAUAUUACUUUUCAACUAUCAGUUCCUCAAAAUCACUCCAUAUAUGUGUAUAUAACUGCUACUCUUUUUUGCUCCUCUUCGUUUGGCUUUGGACAGGUAAACCCAAAGGUAUAUGGUAAUGGAGCAACUCGACUUUUUGUAUAUUGGACUGUAAGUACUUCAUUACAAAAUGAUCAAAAGAACAGGAAAAUGUAGCAUAUAUUAUGUUUGCUCCAUCUGAAAUGUGCCUGCACUUAAUUCUUCUUUUUUUUUUUGGGUUUUUUCAGAAGGACUCAUACAAAUCAUCAGGCUGCUUUGAUCUCACCUGCCCAGGAUUUGUGCAAACCAACAAAGACAUAGCCCUUGGUAUGGUCCUUGGACCUGUAUCAUCUAAAAUGGGACCCCAAUAUCAAACCACCUUCAGCAUCACCAAGGUUUGAAAAUCUUAAUCACUUUUCGUGCAUUCAAAUCAUUUCCAUUGUUAGUCAACGGGAUUUAGCCCAGUGAAAAGGGCUUUGACUUGCAAACCAGUGGUCUCAAGUUCGAAUCCCCAUGGCACAUUGACAGUUGCAUGUGCGAGAAAAACCCAUCCCCUUCCUAAAUUUGACGCACAAAAAAUACAUUUCCAUUGUUGAACAAAAAUGUGAUGGUUUAAAACAUACGUUGUAGGAACCAAGCACAGGAAAUUGGUGGGUGCGUAUUGGCCAAAACGUUCCUGUGGGAUAUUUUCCUGGAGAGCUCUUCUAUUAUUUGACACGCGGUGCUGCAACAUUAGUUGAAUGGGGAGGAGAAGUGUUUAGCUCCAAGGUGAAGCAAAAUCAUCCACACACUGCAACAGGGAUGGGAAGUGGAGAUUUUGCAUCGGGCAAAUUGGGCAAUGCAUGCUAUGUGAAGCAAGUUAGGAUUAUAGAUUAUUCAAAGCAAUUGAAGUACCCAGAAUGGGUAGGCACUUAUUCAGAUGAAGAGUAUUGCUACUCUGCAUUGAACUACGCUCUGUCACUUGCUCAAGAACCUGUGUUCUACUUCGGCGGACCGGGUCGAAAUCCUCCUUAUUGUCCCUAAGUUGUUCAUAAUCUCAAAUGAGGACGCUUAAUUUCCAUAGUUUUUUCUUGAAAUAAUGUCCAAAUAUAUGAUGGCUUGAGCCAAUGUAGCAAGACUAUUUUAUAUUUGAAGCCUAUUGUUAUUGAUUUAUAUGUGAUCAGAAAUGGACUUAUAAUUUUGGUCCCAUUGUCUGCGAUCCUCUUGCAUUGCUCACUGGUUGUGCUUUCACAGAGAUACAUCUACAUAUAUGAGCAUAUAAAAGCCAAAUUACAAGAGAUUUAUCAACAUAAUUGGUCUAAUAGCCCUAUUAACUUUAUUGGCCUCCUCACAUUCUGAGGUUUCGAAUGAUUAGGUUUUUUUUUUCUUUCUUAUUUUAAAUUUGGUGAAUAAUUAAAAUGGAUUUUGAGUUUGGUAAUUAAGGUGAUCACUUGUUCAGUAUUGACAAAGCUUGGAUCGAAAGUAACAUAAAAGGACGGUACAAUUUCUGGAACUUGAUUUUCACUUUUUAGCUUGAACUUCCAGACAACAAUAUCAGAUAUUCAAAAAUGGACAAUUACUCCUAUUACCCAAAUAGUUGCUACCUAUGCCCAAUAACACAAUACAUGAGGGGAAAUAUCGCAUAUUCAGAUUACACUGCUCAGGUUGUGGUAUUCCAGAGGUAUACAAGAUAUACAUAUACGAAGAAUAUACAAUCACAAGAUCAAGAAAUAAGGAAAACCCCAUUACAGAAUAUCAUACCAAAAUGGCCAGGCCACACCAACUUCGAUGAGACCAAUAUCAUUUGCAAGCCAAUGAGAGAAAAUCAGCUAGAUCGAAUCAUGCUGUUUUCUCUCUUCUUGUAUAGAUUGGAAAAUACGAGCAGCUGAUGCAGUUGCAGUUCUUGGAUUGUGUGGCACAACUCUAAUCGCUCGUGUUGGCUGGCCUGAAUCAUGAGGUUGGGCAACUCCUUCUGGAAUUACCGGAGCCAUUGGAAAAAGUUGAAGAGCAUCACUUCCUUCAGCAUUUUGAUCUGUCCCCAAUCGUGCUGUGUCACCUGGACUAUUUGCAGUACUUCCUUGUAGCUCACUGUCGUUAGAUGCCUGAAACAUCAUGGCAUGAGGAAUAGCUCCACUUUUCUGGGAUGGCAUAUUGCAUGAGCUUUGAUGCUGCACAUUAGAGUUUGUUCCCCCUCCUGAUAACUGAUCGAUUUGACCAUGUGAACCAGGUCCGGCAAACCAAUGCAUUUGUUCAAUGCCUGAGCUUGGCAUGGCUGGAUUCAUAACGGACAUGCCAUAUGGAGGAAAGUAAGUAUGGCCUAAUGGAGGAGGGGCAGGAAGAACCCCCGUCCCUUGAUGAUGAUGAGAAGCUGGAACCCCAUAGUUUGGCUUAACAAAGUUACCCGUCAUGGGAGUUGAGUUGAAAGGUCCACAUCCUCCACAAACUGGUCCCAUAAAUCCAGGUCCAUGAUAUGGCUUAUAUACAAGUCCUUCAGAGGGAGACAUUACAGGAAUUAACAACUGGUGUCCAGGUGAUUGAUGGAAACACCAAGGACUGGCUUUAUUAUCAGUACCGACAGGUGUUGGCUGUGGGUUCCCUACAUAUGGCCCAUAAUUUGAAGUCUGACUACCAUUUUUCACAGAAGAAAGAGAUGUUUUCCCAACUGCAUUUUCUGCGGAACAUUCAAUUUUGUUGUUUGGCUUCUCAGGUUCAUGUUUGCGCUUUACAACACGUAGUAGUGGCUUUACAACAUACUCUGAUGAAAGUUUCUUUGCAGGAGAACCCCUUAAAGAAGAUGUGCCUAGGAAAGCAGUAUCUUCAAGCAAAAGAUUAGGAGACCCAGCAAUCAGUCGUUGGACCUGUUGAAAACAACUAGAAAGUUAAAAAUCUACCCUCCUGUAGUCCUUUUGGGGUUCAAAUAGCAUCAUUUAUUCUGUGUUUAUAUAUACAUUUUUUUUUUUGGGACUAUAUACACAUAUAUGUUUAUUUGCAUCUCAUAAUUGCAUUCCAAGAGAAGCAGAAUUACAGGGUCAGAGACUAUGUUAUAGUCUUACCUUAAUGAGCCUAUGCAACUCAAAUACUUGCACUGCAAACAAUCUUUGCUGACUGUAGAAAGUAACAGGGGUUGGAUCAAAAACAUAAUUAUACAACAUAUACCAAAUCAUAUGAAACUUGGCAAAACACAAAACCGAAACCAAUACAAGGAAAAAAAAAGAACUGAACAGAAAUGAAGGAUCAGGCACUUGAAAGAAUCAUUUAUACCAAAACAAUCCUUACUGUGUAAUAUAUUCCAUAUAAAACUCACAUUAUGUAAGAGAUAACAGCCAAAGGACUAGGUGCUUUAAUCACAAAAUAUCUGCUUACCCCAUGAAAAGCACCAUAGCCUAUUAACUCCACAUGACCACACCCCCAAGCUAAUCCUUAGACUUGAUAUUGAUCAGGAGUGCAGGCAAAUAUGACAUUUACCAAACAUGGGAAGAAAACAUCUUAAGGAUGGAUUCAGAAAAUUGCACAUCAGAAAAUAGUUAUAAACAAUGAGGCACAGAUCAGUAAAAUAAUAACAAAAAAUAAUAAUAAUAAUAAUAAUAGUGAAUACAAUAAAAAGGAAAGCUAAAUGCUAAAAACACUAUCUUCAGAGCAAUAAAAACGAAAGCUAAAUGCUAAAACAGAUUCGAAAACAUAGCAACUAUCUGCAAUAUAAAUCAAGAUGUCUGCAAAUCUCCUUUAUUUCACAUAAUUAGAGCUCCAAAUAUGUAAUAUUCAAUCAAAACCAUAUAAGAACUAUACAUUCAGUUGUAUGGAUGUCAUAAAUGAUCCUCGUUACAACAAAGUCGGACAGCAAGCGCAUAAUAGAGCUUUCUAAUUCACAUGUAAAUACUUACAGCUCUUUUCUUAUAGUACAGAAAGAAAGAAAAUACAAAACCUUCAAUAACGAAAAAAGAAUAUGUAAUGAUGAGAAGAAGCCAUAUAUAGGGGAAAUCUCAUAUUCUAUAAAGCAUAUAAAAAGAGUACGCAACCCCAACCCAACAAAAUCUUCCAACACAGGACAUCAAAGCACUACAUAAGAGAUGUAAUCCUCCUCACCACCAUGUCCACCACCAAUUCCACAAUGUCAAAUAUAGUCCAAGAUCCACAAAAUGUAGUCCCAAGGAUAAUCCUUCAUCACUUGUUCCCCUCCUUGCUCCCAGCCCUCAAGUGCCAUGAAGGGAAAAUUUUCCCAGUGGCCAAAAAACCAAAGCAUUACGAAACCGAGACAGGAAUACACCCAAAAGGCAGAUACAAAAGGGCAAUGAAUAAUGAGAUGAUCCGCUGUCUCGGAGGUCGCGUUGCACAAGAUAACUCUAUUAAGAUGUAUGUUUCCCUGCUUUAAGAUGAUCCAUAUCCACUGUUAAAAUGUUAUCGAGGGCCUUUUAACAAAAAGAAAUUCCACUUUAGAAGGGAUCCAGGGACUCUGCACUAUGAAAUAUCACCUCCCUCAAAGUCGCAUUUAAACAAAAUUCAGUCUAUAGUCCUAGUUGUUAUAUUUGAUGGUGUAAACGCUUAUGAAACAAAAAAUCCAAAGUACAAGUGUGGAAAUAUUAAAUAAAACAGAGGUAUUAUGAGACCAAAAUGCUUCACAAGGACAGCAAAACAUGUACUAUAUUUGGAAAAGGGUAAACUUCAAAUUAAGCACAAAGUAACAACUGAAUUGGAGCAGCUAUUGGAGAAAAUAGAGACUUACUUGACGAUUGCUUUUCUUGCCUUCCAGAAAUGUUUCUGACCUAUUAUUCCUACAACGUCAUCGGGAGAGAUAUCCAAGCCAGAUAUAGAAUCCACCAUGGAGGUCUCUGAGACAUCAUCACUUUUGUCUACAUGUCCCAUUUGAGGUGAAAUACACGUUCUAUCUCCACGGUAUUCACUGUCAUUAUCAAGCUCAUUGGGACCACCAGGAUCCUCCCCAGAAUAAGACAGACUUCUUUCCUGGAAAACAGCUCCCUUCUCUACAUCUCUUGUACACUCAACAAGACCAUCACCUUGCCCAGUGAUGUUUGGCUGUGAUCCAGAUCUAGACUCUUGUUGUAAGCAAGCAUCACUCUCAGAUAACCUGCUGAAUCUAGGAACAGGAUAGUCUGCAUACUCUUGAUUUGGAGAUGCACUUACUUCUUCUGCAGGCCCAUCAAUCUUUUGUCUAGUUGAUAUUUUUGUGGCAGAUUUUGCUGAAUGGUCCCUAACCGGGCCACUUACUUUUAUUAGAUCCUCUUCUCUUUCACUUCUCAAUUCUCGUCUCAAAUUGAGAGUAGUUGGGGAGCUUAAUUGUUUUGGAUCCUUCUUGCCCGUAUUUUUUAGUUUCACUGUAUGGCCAGAAUGAGAUGGGCCGAUUGGAGCAAGUUUUUCCUUAUCAAUACCAAUUUGAGUUUUACUAUGACAAAGACCCAUCCUUGAUUGAACAAAUACAGGCACCCUAAAAUCAUCCUCCUCUCCGACUUUCUUUCUUUGGUCGGGUUGUGUCAAGGGCGUGUUCUCAUUUGCUCCAUCAGAUUGACGAGCAUGAAACAUCUCAGCCUGACGACUAGGUGUAGAUGGAUGAACAUGAAGCGGAACAGGCAAAUUUCCUUCAGAACGACUUCCCUGAAAACAUAAAUUGCUCCAGAAAAAUCAGAUAUGAAAUAACCAAUUUUCCCUAUAGAAGCUUCCAAUACUAUUUCUGAAAACACUAUUGAUUUUCCCUUCUUAAAGUGCAGAUAUAGCAAUAUUGGUUAUAUUGGCAUUUUCUUUUCUGGACUGAACUAUAUUGGCAAUAAAACACAACACAUGUACAUAGUAGCAUGCAAAACUACUGGAUAUAGCAUAAAACAGAAUUUGUAGUUAGCUACUACAAAAACAGAAAACAAACCUAGUGAAAUCCAUAACCUAACUAAAGCUUAAAAGGAUAACACUUCAAAACUAAUCCUCAGUAAACCUUAAACGAGAAAGCUAGGCACAAAUUAUGAGUUUACCUGGCUCGAGAAAGCUGAGGGAACCACACUGCUAGUGUUAUUUGGAUUAAGAGGCAUCACCACAGGGUUGAACCUCUGAGAAGGGAUACUGAGCUGUUCAUAGAGCGCCAUCUUAUUCCUUGGAGGUGCUCUUGGCCCUCCUUUAUCUGCAUCAUUCACAUGGAGUCUUGGGAACAUAGGUCCCAUAACCUUUUCUUCGUUCCCUCUCUUCAUUUUCAACACCAACACCAAGUCCAAAAAUCUAUUCUUAUAUUAAAUUCCCAAAACCACCCUCAAAAACUCAAACUUGUUCAAACCCAUGCACCAAAAACAUCUCUUUUGUUGAAAUUGUGCUCGCUAAAACGAGAAUACCAAAAGGGAUCUAACAAAAUCCCAGCUAGCUAAAAGCCUUCUCCUUUCUCAUAAUAGAUCAAAUUCCAGAAAACCCAGAAGCAGACCAGGCUUCUAAAACCUGAACCGACAUAAACAGACUCAGCUUAUCACACCCGAAAAAACCAAGCUCCAAAUUAGGCAAGACCCAGAUGUCAAACACCAAAAGUAAACAGAUUCCCUUUGAAAAAACGAGAGAUUUCUUCACAACCCAGCUGGGAAAAAAGGGUACUUGAGAACUGAAACUGAUGGAGGAACGAACUAAAAGCGUGAAUUGUGGAAAAGAAGGGAUAGGAAUAAAAGAAGAGCCAAGAAAGAGAUUGGGAGUUGAGGGCUGAGAAAGGCUAAGGCUUAUUUUAGGGAUUCCGCAAAGGGAUCGUCUUCUUAGAAAAAGGAAAAGUGAAAAGUGCGGGGGUUGGUUGGGCCCUUGUUUGGGAUAGACCCAGAAGAAGACUAGAACCUCCUCUUAAGAAUAGAAAAAGACCAUAUGUUGCCAUUGCCAACUUGGAAUUAUCUUUUUCUCAAGACUACUCCUUCUGGUAUAAUAUAUUUUUGUCUGAACCAUGAUUAACUCUUUUUUUAACUACUUUAUCUGAACAUAAUUCAACUCAACGAGACGGAUGAGGCCAUUUUAGUUGAGAUCAUAGGAAAAUUGAAUAUACAUGGUACAAACCCAAUUACCUAUGGUAUUUUAUUCUCAAUUCUGAUAAGUGUCUAAUAUUCAUAUUUUUUAUCUCGGUCGCAUAUGAGUUACAUUCGAGUAAGUGAUGUAUGUGCAUGAUUAUAAGUCUUUUUAUUUAUGCAGACGUAUGAUUAUAAGUAAUUGAUGAAAUGAGUCUCACAAUUCACUAAUGUCUAACGAGACACAUGCACAAUGCACAAACGACUGACGAUAACAUUCUCUUAUAUCCUCUCAUUCCUUUUUUCUUUUCUAUUUUGUUAUAAUCUCUAUCUUGCCCUCAAGAUUGGCCAUUUGGGUCAAUUUUGCACUUUUUGAUCCUAGGUGUAGCUGGAACAUAAGGGACACGUGUUAGUAACUUUUUUGGAGAGUGGGAUCUAAAUGGUGAACAGCUUGACAAGCAACACAAAAAGUUUGAUUCGGUAAAAUCUGCAGUCGUCACACACAACCAAAACUAUUUUUAUCUGAUUCCAUAAGCAUUAAACCCAAUACUUUUGCCUUUUAUAAACAUUAAACCCCACAUGAUUUUCUCAGAUAACAUGGACAAUAUCACAAAAUGGUAGUAUAGAAUAUAGAAAAUAUAGCACUUUAGACUAGUUUUGGGUUAGGGGGAAUGUGGUCCACUCCUACUACAAGUAUAGAAGUAUUCAUUUUUCUUUGUCAAACCAAAAAAAGUUUCAAUUUUUCUCAAUUGGUUUGUCGAAAAUGAAAUCGGGUCGGGUUAUCCCCACGGGCUGUCGGCUUUCUCAAACUAAAAAUAAAAAUAUAAUAAAAGAAAUGGACAUAAUAUUUGGUGAAGUGGAGAGAGAACCAGGGUUAGUUGGUUUCAGAGGCAAAAUUAGAUUGGCGUGGAUGGUCCGAUCACAUGGCCUCUUUACCUCCUCCAUAUCAGACACACCUUCCUCUAUCGCCUGACCCAGGUGGGUCCUUUCAAUCAGAUCCAAUUCACGAAAGUUUUCAUUUUUAUUACAAGUUUCGUGUGCCUUUGAUUUUAUGUUCCCUUCGGGGUUUGCUCAUUUGCUUGCUGGGAAAAAUGUGGGAAAGAAAAAAGUAUAUGCAAAAUGUUGAAUCUUUGAUGAUCGAUUUACAUAUAUGCGUGACCCCAAAUGAUUUUGAAGUGGGUUUAUGAAUUUGAACUAAAAAAUAUUUCCUUCUUUUUUUUUCUUUAAUUUUCUGGAGCACCCAUUAACCUGUAAAUUUGAGCUAUUUUGUGUGUAUUGCAGGUGAGAAACCCCUAAAUUCUGAACCCCAGUUGCCGCUGGUUCCUAUUCAUGUAGUCACUCGUGCAUCUCAGCUUCCUGCCGAGUUCCUGGAGCCAUCAGCUGAAAGGCAAUUGGUAAUUGGCUUUGAUUGUGAGGGAGUUGACUUGUGCCGUCAUGGAACACUCUGUAUCAUGCAGGUAUGUAGAGUUUUACUUACUCUGUACUCUUAUGAAUAUUUGUUCCACUUCAAAUUUCGUUCCAAUCAACCUCAUUUAGUAGAUGCGUGCCUAAUCCAAACAAGGACAUAUGGGUUGCUACUAAACUACCACAAACAAAAGAAUUAAUAAAAAAAGAAAAGCAGUUAUUUGCAUCCCAAAUUGGUUGUUGAUUGGUUUCUGAUUGAAUUUCAGCCAUUUGCUUGUAUUCCCUUGCAGCUAAAGAAAAUAACGAGAGUAUCUUACUUAUAGGUCUUCUUUAUUGUGAAUUUUCUGCUACUCAUAUCCCUGGUUCUCGUUCUUGUUUUCUUUCUGUCAGCUUGCAUUUCCAGAUGCUAUAUAUCUGGUUGAUGCCAUUCAGGGAGGGGCUAUGCUUAUCCAAGCCUGUAAGCCUGCACUUGAGUCUAGCUACAUCACCAAAGUUAUUCACGACUGCAAACGAGAUAGCGAGGUCUCUGAUUGGUUUUAUUUGCAUCCCAUCAUGUACCUUCUUGUAAUAUGACAUUUCAUUCCCAUGAUUGAAUUUUUUCCUAUUUUAUAGGCCUUGUAUUUUCAGUUUGGCAUCAAGUUGAACAAUGUUGUAGAUACUCAGGUGAGCAUCCUUUAGCACUGGCUUUAACUUUUCAAUGGAUUGUUUUUUUAAGAGAAACGUUGAUUUAUAAGAUAAUUUUGAAUUCUUUCAAUGGAUUGUUGUUUUAAGAGAAACGUAUAAUGGUAGUUAAAGAAGUAAUAUAAUUGAGAUGGAGAAAAUACUCAUAUGCUAAGUGAUUUGAAAUUUCCCUUUUGGUAUUCAGAUUGCCUAUUCGCUGAUAGAGGAACAAGAAGGGAGGAAAAGAUUGCUGGAUGAUUAUAUAUCAUUUGUGGGCCUCCUUGCUGAUCCACGCUAUUGUGGUAUUAUAUAUUUCGUGGUAUCCAUUUGAAGUUUCUGUUUCUGAUCAUAUUUGAUUAUGCUUUUGGAUUACAUUGAUUUUAUGAAAUUAAAUGAUGCUUUUAUUUUUCUAAGAGUUUCGAAUUAAUAUUAACGGGGAAUUUAUUUGAAAGAUCAUUCUUGAAGUACUGCCUCCAAGUAUUUUACGUUAGCUUAUUCCAUACCAGAAGUUUUCUGGAUGACAAAAUAAAAAUAGACAUGAGGGCAUGGUGCGUUGGAUUAUUAAGUUUUGAUCUUCACAUAUGGCUUCAGUUUUCACCGUAAGAGUUUGAAUGCAGGAAUAUCUUAUCUUGAGAAGGAAGAAGUUCGAUUCCUCCUUAGGCAGGUUAGUGCCAACAUCCUAAGAAUUUUUCUGGAUUUUUUUCGUUUUCUUAUUCUCUAUGUUUAGAUUUUCCAUAUAACUCAGUUUGUUACUAGUCUUCUUAUUGUUAUCUGAUACUAUACUAGAUUUCUAAUAAAAUAUAUUGAAGGUUUAAGUCAGUAUGGUGACUGGGAUGUGAUAAUGAGAUUACAGUCCAAUGAACAAUAGGUUUAGAAUCACUCUACAGUGGUUUUAAACUUGAGGUUAUCAACAGAGCAUUAGCCUUAUAACUUAAAUUUGUCUAUUUUGUUGAUUCAUAUUUGCUUUACACUUAGCAAAGGACUUUAGAUAAAUUUGCUUCUAGACCUGUAGUUUUACCAGUGCAGCCACAGUAUUGUUUGGGACUAGGAUCUUCUGUCAAAUGACAUUUAUUUUAUAUGUAAUGUACAGGACCCCAACUUUUGGACAUACAGACCUUUAUCUGAACAGAUGGUCCGUGCAGCUGCAGAUGAUGUCCGCUUUCUUCUGUAUAUCUAUUACAAGAUGAUGGAGAAAUUGAAUCAACAGUCAUUAUGGUAUCUUGCAGUUCGAGGUGCUCUCUAUUGCAGAUGUUUUUGCAUCAACGACAACAAUUUUGCAGACUGGCCACCUCUCCCCCCUAUUCCAGGUAUCGAAUCCUCCCUCACAACUAUACCAAGACUUCAAAAUGAGAUGAAAUAUUUUGCCUUCAUAUAAAUACGUUCUCAUAUGAAUACAAGCUUAAAGCUAUUAUGUCUGAGGCUGAUGUUCGUAAUUCGGCUCCAAUUGAUUCUGCCACUAAGCAUUAUGUGCAUGUCAUCCAUUAAUGUCCUCAUUGCUAAUUUUUGAUAGAAUUAUGUGCAUGUCAUCCAUUAGUAGAAUCUCUAGCCUCGUAAACUUACUACGGAUACCGUUUUAUGUAUGACAUUAGACCAUAGUGUUUCCCUAAUGUACUUGAGAGCAUACGGUUUUGUUGGAAUGUGCAGCAAAGCACUUUAGAGUGUACAUUUAAUUGAAUACUAAUUGCAUUUCAAAAAAACUUGAAUACUAAUUCAGAUGUUAUUUCUUCUAGCAGAUAACCUAAUAGUGGAUGGCAAUGCUCCGGAGGAAGAAAUCCUUUCAGUGCUUGAUGUUCCUCCAGGAAAGAUGGGACGUGUUAUCGGGAGAAGAGGAGCUUCCAUUUUGUCAAUAAAGGAAUCUUGCAAGUACCAUUCUAUCUCUAUCUCUGCAUGUUUCGGUAGUUUGUGCUCCAUUUUUCUCUCCAUCUCCCCCCACUUAUUAUUACUUCAAUGGUACAAUUUUACAGUGCGGAAAUUCUCAUUGGAGGUGAUAAGGGCCCACCCGAUAAGGUCAGUCCAUUGCAUUUAUAUAACAGUUUCAAAGUAGGCGUAAAAUUAAUCCAAUUUUUUUUUUUUAAAUGAUUUAAUCAUCAAAGCAAAAAACAACUGGAAUUUGGAAAAGUUUCAAAUUCUUUUGUAAAUUUUAUUUGGUUUUGAUGUAGGUGUUCAUCAUAGGACCAGUGAAGCAAGUGAGGAAAGCAGAAGCCAUGUUAAGGGGGAAGAUGAUGGACGUGUACUACUAGAAACAUAUCAUGUUGUCGUCUUCGCCCCUUUCUUUAAAAAUAAAUAAAUAAAAGAAUUCUAAGAAAUUGGGCAUCUUUUCUUUUUCUUCUUUCCGUGCUCUUUUUCUUUUCUUUCGGUACAGAACAGAACCCGUCAUCUAUUCAAAUUGUUCUGUUUAUGAAACGACAUCCUGUUGUGCAAAUAAAUUAUAUAAUUGUCAAACAAAAGGACAAAGUAAAAAAAAAAAAAAAAAAAUCUGUCGUGGCUGAGACAUUGGCAAAAUUAAACGUUUAAUAUACAAAUAAAAUCAUAGUCAUCUAUUGAUAUCUAGAAUAAUUUUUUUGGACCGACUAUGUUAAUUGCCACCACAUUGUUCAAAAGACUGGAGGAUUAAUUUAAUCACGAAGCUGUUUGCAAUCCACUGGAAUUUAUAAAUAAAAAGUGUCGCAAUCAUCUUCACUCACGAUCAAUACAAUCCUCAAUACCACAAUAUCCAUUGACGGAUGUAUGAACAAACUAAGCACACCAAAAGAAAGGACUUUCUCUUCAAUAUUUUGGCCGAGUAGGCAAAAGAAUAUGUAGACGGAAAAAAUGGCAGAAAUAACAAAAUUACUUUUGGAAACCACCGUAUUGGUAUUGUUGGCCGCCGCCACCACUGAGACUUGAGAAGAUGUCAUCGCCUCCCAUUCCCGGCGAUGAUGGGAACCCAGAUUUUCCAAGACCAGUCCCGGAACCCAUUGCUCUACCCAUGUAAUACGAAGUUGGGGGCCCUUUCUCCCUUUCAUCUGAUCCGUCAGUCAAUCCACCCACAAUCCCUACAUCCGCCAGAUUUACCUUCUUGGCUGCAAGUACAUGAAGUGAAGAGGGGAUUACAACAGCAGCCUAAACAUGUGAUUCGAAAUGUCAACAUACAUAGUCUCUGCUCAAACAAUUAUAUAGGCAUACAUUACCCGGACAAUUUUUCUAAAUCUCAACUCACACCUUGAACAUUAAGCAAAAUUUACUUUCAUGUACACACAUAUAAAUUGUGCUCAUGAAAGGCAAAAUGCUAGUUGAAAUGGUUGAACUUACGAGCAGAUAUAUUAAGAUCAAUCAGUCCACGGCUAAGUGAGUCGGCCCAAAUGCCAGAUUUCACCUGGAAAUCCUUCUUGGGUGGACCAUUCAGGUCUGCUGAAGAUUUUUUACCCAAAUUAGUGUCGCUGCCAUCAUUGACAGAACUUUGGGAAGGUUCUGAAGAUGUUGAAUCAGACUGAGAGGUGAAGGCCCCAAAAAUAUCAGAUUCACCAAAAUUGUGAAGUGGAACAGUGGCAAAGGGAUCAACAAUG
rnacentral:lncRNA from 1 species